rnacentral:lncRNA from 1 species
AGAAAGCUAACGGUUGAAGAAGUCCAGAGUUGAACAUAAGGCACCCCAAUGAGUUGAGCUGCCUUGGUACCAAAGUUCAUGGUUCCAUCACAAACUAUGCAUGUAACAGGCGGCAGGUGGGGUGAGGAAUUAAGCUUAGAUAGUAGCUCCAGAAAUGGAGCCAAACAAUUUUUCCGUGUGGAAUUGCAUAGUGCCGGAACAGACUGAGUCGCAUCAGAAUCGGAAGGUGGCAGCCCGUCGGGUAUGGCUUCGAACCGGAAAUGAGGCAGACCCUUAACAGCUUCUUCCCCUCUAGACCGUAUAAAUCGUCUAUGAUUGAACUUGGAGUUGACAAAGGUUAUAUGGAAGCCUCUAGAGUGCAAGAGCUUGGCCAGUUGCAUCAUGGGGUUAAUAUGACCUUGUGCUGGGCUUGGAAGACAUACUGCAUGCGAUUUAAUUGAAUCCAUCUUUCUGCAAAUAAUAAUUAAGCAAUGAAGUCAAGUAGCUAGUGAAAAUUGAAGAUAAUAUGUUUUUGGUUGAGAAAAUAUCAACUGCUUCCCUCCAGUGCUGGGUAUUAUAUAUGACUGAAUCUUGUGUCAUCAAACCCGAAGGAUACACGUUUCUAUUUUUUAUUUAAAAUAAUUAGUUUUCAUUCCUCCAUUGCACAUGUAUAUUUAAUUGCUAGAACAAUAUAUAUAAAAAAUUAAUUAAAUAUUAGAAAAUAUAUUCAAUAAAACAAAAAGUAAAUAUAAAAAACUAAUCUUAAAUUAUAUUAAAGUUUAUUAAUAAAUAAAACAUAUAUUUACUAUAAACAUAUCAAAUGCAAUAAUGAAAUAAUGAUUAGUAGUAUUCGUAAAAUAUUAUUAUUUUAAAUAAACUAGUCAUGUAAUUUUAGUAAGUUCUUUUUUGCCACUGUAAAUGAAAAAUUUUCAGAAAAGGCAUUACUGUUACAAAUCGUUUUCAUUUUGAUCAUCUGUCAUUAAUUUGGUGUUAAACCAUUUUAUCGUACACUUAUUUUAUAAUCCAACUUUAGUAAGUAAUUUUUAUUUUGGUCCCACAAUUUAUUUUUAUUUAUAUGAACCACCUAGGUUAUUAUAAGGAAAUCAUUGGGUUUUAACAAGGAAAACCCUUAAUAAAAUUUUAAUUUCCUUUAUUUUUUUAUUUUUUAGAAUUAUUUUAUUUUUUCUCAAUAAAUGAAAGAUAUAGGUUUUUCAAAAAAUAAAAAUAAUUCAAAAAAUAUAAGAGACUAAAAUGAAAAAUUAUUAAAUUUAGAUGACUAAAUGUACAAUAACAUUGUCUAACCUCAAAUUAAUGGUGGGUGACCAAAGUGAAAACGGUUUGUAAUGAAAGUGCCUAAAAAUUUAUAAAAGUUAGGUAAUUAACUGAAUAGUUUACUCUAUUAUUUUAUAUAAAACACAUAUUACGGAUCAAGUGCUAAUAACUAUAAUUAUUAAUACUCAUCUACUAUUAAUAAAUAAUUUAUUAUAAUAUAUGAAAAUAAAAUUAAAUAGUGAUUCAAUUAUUUUUGGUGGAAAAUAGAAAAAUACAAGAAUUAAUUUAUGCCAACUGGCCUAACUCUCCAAGUGGGGGUCUUCCAAACAUUCGCAAAUCUUAGCUUCCCGAGUGAGCCAUCUUGGUAAGUUUAUCAGCUUUGUGAUUUUCUGCUCUGGGUAUAUAAUAAAUAUUCCAAUGAAAAAUCUGAGACAGUAAUUGAAGAAUCCUUCUAAUUAGAGCUGUAUUGGCCUCUCCUGUAGAACUCUCCCAAAUAGCCAUCACCACUUCAAGACUAUCCGUUUGAAUGAAAUUAAGAUCCAAACUAGAAGUAAUAAUAUUUAAAAAUGAAAGUUUUUUAUUCUUAAUAAUUAAAAUAAUGCAUAAUUUAGUAAUGAAUGAAUUUAGACAUGGUGGAUAACAAUUGGUAGAGAUGCCGCGAAAAUACACUCAAUUAUUUUGAUACGUUAAUCUAUUAAUGGCUCCUUUUCGUUUUCCUAAAGUGGCUGCUCUAAUAUAUUGACUCCUCAAAUGUUGCUUGUCCCUACUAUUAAAAAAAAAAAUCUUUUGUUUAUUGUCUUUUCUUUUUAAUUUCCUUUCAAGUAGUAAUCAAGAUAUUCAAGGUUAGCAAUAAUGACUAAUCCCUUCAUCACGAGUAUUCUUCUGUAAGGAAUCGAACCUCCAACCACAUAGUUAAUAGAUGAUGAAGUAGGCAACUGCGACACCUAUCAUUUCGAAUAUUGUGUGGUCAAAAAUGAAAGGUUAGGUGAGAUAGAACAUGAGGGCAUGUUAAUAGAUGAUGAAGUAGGAUACUGCGACAUGACACCUAUCAUUUCGAAUAUUGUGUGGUCAAAAAUGAAAGGUUAGGUGAGAUAGAACAUGAGGGCAUGUUAAUAGAUGAUGAAGUAGGCAACUACGGCAUGAUACCUACCAUUUUGAAUAUUGUAUGGUCAAAAAUGAAAGGUUAGGUGUGAUAGAACAUGAGGGCAUAUAUAGUUUUUCCACAUCGAUGAAGUGUCCUUUCACUCAAAAUAUGUAAUUUUAUCUUUUUUCUAAAUUUUUUUCGUGAAAAUAAUAUAGAAUAAUAAUUUAUUAAAAUAAUAUAAUAAUUUUUUAUGGACCAAAAUAAUCAUUUUUGAAUAAUGUUUGACAAGUCUAAUAUCAAAUCAUCAUUGCAGCAAAACAAGCUUUUAGCGGCAUUUUUUAAGCCUAUAGUGGCGCUUAAAAGCGCCGCUAAAAGUAUUUGCGGUGCUUUCACAAGUGCCGCUAUAGACAAUGUCGCUAANNNNNNNNNNNNNNNNNNNNNNNNNNNNNNNNNNNNNNNNNNNNNNNNNNNNNNNNNNNNNNNNNNNNNNNNNNNNNNNNNNNNNNNNNNNNNNNNNNNNNNNNNACUAAUUUUGGCAGAUUUGUAACAUUCAAUUUUCAUCCAUAUACAACCCUUUCUAUAGCAUGAAAUCCAACCAAAAACAACAAAUCUAAAUGAUACUUCAAAUUCAACGAAAGAUAUAUGAUAUAAAGUGGUAACUAAAGUAUAAUUCAAAAUAUUCUUACAAUAAUGUUAAAAGAUACAAUGUUAAAAAUAUUCUUACAAUAAGAAAACUGUAAUAGGCCAAUUUUGGCCUGGCUAAAAAACCAUUUACAUAGCCCAAAUAAUUCGGCCCAAUAAGGCCCAAAUUGCUAGCCCAAAAAACACAAAGAGUAUAGCAGAAACCCUAGUAGCCGCCACAGCAAUCUCAUCCUCGCACGCCGUCGCAAAUGUCGCAUAUGCACCUCCAACCAUACCUGCACAUCAAGAAAGAAAUAAACAGUACAUGGAAAGAAAAAUCCAAAGAUUGCGAAUCUAGAUCGAUAUGAACAGAUUUACUUUCUAUGUUAUUGUUUUAUUGUGGCUAUAAAAAAGCCAUUGAUACACUGUAAUGAGGGGCCGAAAAAUCAAUAAAAAAGAAUCAUUUUUACAGCACCAACAAAGAAUCAAUCGAAACUAAAGGUGGAUAUUUUCGUUUUGUUAUUUUUUUAUACACUGAUAUUAAAUAAAAUAAAAGAGAGAACUUAACUGGGUUCGGACCUGCGGCGUCGCGGGCGAUCGAGGGUGCCACCCCCGAGGAUUGGUGGCCGAAAACUGAAAGGUUUCUGGACUCCCUUGCGGUUUUUGAUGGUUUUUUUGAGACUUUUGAACCCGGAUUUGGGUUUAGAGAGGUCUAGGGAGCCGAAUAGGGAAUUUUCCCCUUUUCCGGCCACCGUAGACGGCGGUGCCGGCGACGGAGAUCGACGACUGACAAGGUGGCCGACGAUCGGCCGAUGAUCGGACUAGAGGCCAGACGACUGGGGAAGGGGAAACCUUUUGAAGUGUUAUUUUUAUUUUUAUUUUUAAAAGAGGCUGCAAAUGAAAAUUUUUAGAGAAGUAGUGGCUUAAAUAGCCCUCCAAAACGGCGUCGUUUUGGACAUGGGUCGACCUGACUCCGACCCGACCCGGCCUAGGAUCCGCGUGUUUUUGCGCGGAGGGGUAUAUUACGCUUUUAGUCCCUCCGCCUUUUAAUAAUUUUACAAUUAAGUUUAUUUUAUUUUUAAAUUUCGUCUUUAAUUUAUUUUUAAUUUCAAUUUGGUCUCUGUGGAACGAUGCCGUUUAGAGGAAAAGGGAAAAUUUCCCUUCAGUCCCUCCAUGAUUAUUCGCGCGUUCAAUACAGUCCUUUGGGAUUUAAUUAUUUGCGAAUUUGCCCCAGUUUUUUAUUUUACAAUUCAAUUUAGUUUUUUUAUUUUUUUAUUAAUUGAUAAUGUAAUUAUUAUUUUCAUAUGUAAUUAUUUUUUCUUUUUAUAUAUAUAUGUAUAUUUAUGUAUAUAUUUAUUUCCAUGUAUAUAUACGUAUAUUUUUUAAUAUAAUGUAGUUAUUAUUUAAUUUAUUUUUAUAUAUAAUUGUCUAAAUGUAUAUAUGUACAUAUUUUUUUAUUUUUUUCAAGCUAAUAUUUGUUAUAUUUAUAUAUACACAUAUUUAUUUUCGAUCAUGUAUUUAUUAUUUUUAAUCAAUAUAUAUAUAUAUUCUAAAAAAACAAAUAUUCUUUUAUAUUUAUGAACACGUAUAUAUCCCUUUUUUAUUUUUCAAAAAAAUGCUUAAAUAUCUACUUAUAUUUUAACACAUAUUUUAUAAUUUAUAUAUAUAUAUAUUUCUAUACUCUUCUUUAUUUUCACAAAUAUGUAUUUUGUUUAUAUAAAUUUUUAUAAUCUAAAUUUUAUUUAUAAAUUCAUGUGUAUUCUUCAUAGUUUUAAUGUAUAUGACAUGUACCUUUUAUUCUUUAUAUUUUUUUUGUUUAUUUUAUUUAUUUAUUUAUGUUUUCAUUAAUUUUUUUAUCUUGCUCGUUUAUUUAAUACUUUGCAUGUCAUUAACUUUUUUCUCCCUUAUGUAUAUUUGUUUCGUUUAUUCAUUUGUUUAUAUUAUUUCUAUGCUAUUGUUGUAUUUGUUAUCACGAUAUUUGCACAUAUAAUAUAACGUUACAUCAUCUUUCACUCAAAUUUAAAAAUAGAAAAUUUUCAAAAUUGAGAUAAUGCUCGUAUUUAGGAUUUUCAAGGAAAUUGAGCCCUAACGUAUUGGGUUCCGAUUUUCUUCGUUAAAUCUAACAAUCGAGCAUUUCUCUUUAAUCAAAAAAAUAAGAACUCAUUAUUGGGAAUUCAACACGUUGUGUCCUAACGUAUUGGAUGUGACGCAUUGAUUUCUCGAAAUGAAGAUUUUUUCUAAAAAAUAAUAAAGGAAAUUUUCCGAGUUUGGGAUUUUGGAGGAAUUAUGCCCUAACGUAUUGGGCCGCGAUUUCUUAAAUCUUGAAUAAAUGGAUAUUCUUUUAAAUUUUUAUUACACGAGUAUUCUGGCCUAAUUCAUUUUUGAGGAAAUUAGAAUGUCGUGCCCUAACGCAUUGGGUGUGGCAUUUUCUUUCAUUGAAAUGGUAAGGGUCUUAAUACGUAACGUUUUUAAGUUUUUGCUAAGGAUUAUAUUUUUCAAAUUUUCUACAUUAAGACAUUAAUUAAUUAACUAGGUACCAAUUUUUGGGCGUAAUGAAGGUGCUAAUCCUUCCUCAUACGUAACCGACUCCCGGACCCGUUUUUCUAAAAUUCGUAGUCCAAAGUCGUUUUUAGGUGACCCAAUCACACCUUAAUAAAAGAUUGGUGGCGACUCCCAAUUCUUCCAAUUUUAAUCGACAACUAAUUUUUGUUUUUUUUCCAAAAAUAAAAAUAGUUCUAAGAAAAACAAAUGUCUAAAAUGGUGGAUUUUGCGACUACUGAAACAUCUUCAUAAUAUUCUAAAGCUGUAGUUGGAGUGCGUCGUACUUUCUGCUCUGCUCUACUUCCCUCGCUACUGCCUUCACUUUAAAUUGUAGCUGGAGUUCUUCAUAUUUUCUUUGAACCUCAACUUCUCUCGAUGAUGCCUUUGCUUUAAGUUGAGCAAUUUGCUCAACUGUGCUCACUUGCACCUGAGCCAUCUGGUCUCUUAACCUCUGAUCUUCAGCUUGAGCCUGACUUCCCGAAGGCAUGUAUUGUUGUGAGCUGGAUCCAAAUUAUUGGGUUGGGUUAACAAAAGAUCCUUGAAAUCGAACCCGACCAUACCUUUCAGGACUCAAAACUUCAGUAAUAAUCUAAUUAUCAAUGUCGUCAACAUUAAUAGAACUAUCACCCGAAGCAAUCGCUUCAUACUCUUCCUUUUUAUCCUUUAGUUACUCCUAAAAAAAUCAAUCAAAGAGUUAGAAACGAAAUAUAUAAUAAAAACAAAUGCAACAUAACUUAACAUUAUUUGCAUUACAAACGACGAAUUAAACCAUUAUAAUUAAACACUAUAAAUAUUCAAAAUAAUUCAAAUUUUAUUAAGUAAACAUACCAUAAUUUCUGUAGCUUCAGAAGUCAUAGGAGAUUCAUCUUUUUUCCUAUGUGUAAUGUCAAAAAGCUGAAGGCGUCCGACUUUUUGACUAGACGACAGUUCCUACAAUAUAAUAGUAAAAAUAUUAUUUAAUAGAAAGUAAUAAAUAUUUGACACAAUUAAUAAAUUCAAAAUACCUCGACCUCAGCUACACAAGCAAAACUUUUUGACCCAGCUGUGUGAGUGAAUUUCUGUUUUUGCCUGCUGCUUGUUCCAACUCAUUCACAAUCCUACAUUAUGAAAUUAUUAUUACGUAUAUGGUAAAUACUAUAAACUGAAACAAUUAUAAAAGUUUGGAAGUACUUAAUACCUCUCCUUUAUUUGUAUUCCAAAAUCUAACCGCAUAUUCCCAUUGGUACCUCAGCAUUCCCGACAGGACAUUUUGCAAUUUCUCUUCGAGGGUUGUUUUUGUCUUAAAAUAUUCUUUCUUUAAAGUACUUUUAUGGUCUCUCCAUCUUUUUCCCAAUGCCUUCUUGACAUAAUUAUCGGAGACCUCUAAAUCAAACCUCUCCUACAAAAAACACAAGUUUAAAAAGUAAAUAUAAAUGAAACUUAAACCAAAGUUUUAUAAAUUACAUUCACGUUUUGUUACCUUAAUAUUAUUGAGAGCUUCAUUUUUGUUACUAUCAGGCAUUUGAUGCCAUGAGUCAUAGUUGAUAGGCAACAUAUUGACAUUUCGUGCUAUAAUGCACAAAUAUCCUACUAAAAGUCGAGCUUCUGAUCCAACAGGCUGACCAAGAUUGUUUCUAGAUACUUUGACACGCUCGACAUGAUUUAACUCGUAUAAAUCUUUAAGUAGCGUACGUCCUCGACCUCUGCGCGUCCCACCACUUUCAGCUGAAAAAUGGUAUAUUAUAAUAUAAGAAUUUGAAAAAGAAAUCAAUAAUAAAAGUCAACACACAUGUAAAUUAAAUUUAACAUUACUUUGAAUUUCUGCAGGUUCAUCAGGUGUAUUUGGAACAUUCGAAGAUCCAAUAGCAGUCUGUUGUUCACUAUUUGUUUCUUCCGAAUUUGGAGUAUUUUGAACAAUACUUUGAUCUCGCAAUCUUCUUUUAGGCAUUUUAUCUGCAAUACACAUAAAAUAGUUGAAAUUUUAGUAACUAAUUACAACAAUAAUAGUACAUAUAAAAUAGUUAAAAUAUUUAACAAGACCAAGAUUUAAAUUAUGAUAUUACAUAUAAUUAAAAUCUUACUACAUCAUAAUUCGUAAAUAUCUUCAUCAACAUCCUGGCGAACCCAUUGAAAUUGUGUACUAGUACUAGAGAUAUUUUCAUUUAAGUUUUGUUCUGGAAAAGGCAAAAUUUCUGAUCUUUCGUUGAUGUCAUCUCUACUUCCAUUGCCCAUGUCAAACAAGUCUCUAGGGGUGUUACGGAGUACAACGCACCAACCCUCAUCAGUUGGAUCUUUCGAGUAAAAAACUUGUUUCACUUGAGAAAAAAAAUACAUACAGCUCAUCUAUCAGUUGUUGUCCAGUGUGAAUCAAUCGAGAGAAGUUCACCAUUGUAAAACCAAAUUGAUCUUUUUUAAUUCCGUGAGUAGUAUUAACAUCAGCUCAAUCACAUCGAAAUAAGACAACUUUCCAUUUGCCAUAGUUAUCCAACUUAAUAAUGUCAGUAAGAAGUCCGUAAUACUCCACAUUUCCAUCAACAGGAUUACUAUCCCUAGCACUAGCAUAACUUGUAAUUGAAGAAUUAACAAAUAUUCCACAAUUUUGAGUUCUCCUCUAUCUCUCGCGAUAUUUUGUAUGAAAUCUAAAUCCAUUGAUGAGAAAGGCACUAUAUCUUUAAAAUUAGUAUUUCAAGAUUUGGAUUUAGAUUUUUAAAAUAAUGUAAAUUGAGUAAUAAGUUAUUUAAAAAUAUAAUAUUUAUAAUUAUUUUAAUAUUUUAAAUAUUAGUAUAAAAAAUUAAUUAGUAUUAAAUAUAUACUUUUAGUCGAAAAGAUAGUAUUUAAUCAUAUGAUUUGGGGAAGAAAACGACGCCGAAUGAGUCAAAUAUCUGAAUAAAACAGAAUUCCUAUUACUUUGGCAAUAUAUAACCCUUAUAAGUUGACAACAAAUUAAUUAAACAGAUUAUAAUUACUGUACAAGCUUAAACAUAUUGUUCCUAUUCCAUUACUUGUCAAAGAAACCCACCAUCUAGCAGUAUAUCAUAUUUGAAACUAGCUUAAACAUAUUGUUUCUAAAAUAACAAGGGAUAAACAUUAUUACAGCAUCAGUAUAAUUGAUAAAUAAUCAAGUCUACAAAAAAGAUAACACUACAUUAGAUUAAGACAAUAAUAAUCUUUUUUAGUGGAAUUACUUUCAUUGCUAUUUUAAGAACCCAACGCUACAUUAGAUUAGGACAACAAUUGAAUUUUAAAAAUAAAUAGCACGAAAGCUUGAACUCCGAUUCAAAGUUAAAUACUCAAAAUUCAGUUCAAGCUCUUGACUCAAGAAACAAUCGAUGCUUGAUGAGUGUCGUUAACUGAUUUCCCAAUACUCAAAACUCCAAUUUGAACUGGAAAUUAAGCUUUUGCAUAUACAAAAACAAAUUUGUAAAGAAAUGAACUUUUUAGCUGCGCAUUACACUUCGCAAAGCCCUGAUUCACUAGAAUAAGUAAUUUUAUUUUAAUUUUAAGAAAAAAAACCUAAUUUAUCCACAUCCGAUAGUUUUUCGAGCAAUUAGAAAACAAAAUGAACUAAAAAUGAGCUUAUUUGUCGCAAAUAAAACCCUAAAUCAACAAAUAUUAAAUUAAUUAAGAUUAUAAUAAAACAUUAGAAGAUUUAAAAUAGAAAACCUAGUCCUUUUGGUGUUCGUGACUGUCUCCAGAAAUAGAAGCGGUAAUUUUAGGGCAGAGGAGUGUGACGGUGAUGCGGCAGAGGAGACAGUUGAUAGCGAUGCAGUAGAUGGUCGGCGAAAAUCAAAGGGAUUUUGAAAUUUCAGGAUUUCGAUUUGCGGGAAAAAUUAAGGGAUUUGGAAAUGCCAAAUUUUUAAGGGAAAAAUUAAGGGAUUCGGGCUUUAGGGAUAUAAAGUAAGGGAUUUUGGGGUUAUGGUUUAAGGAAAGGAGAACAGAUAGAAUUCAGGGAGCAAAACGGUGACGUUUUGUUUAAAAUAAAAUGAUAAAAUGCCGCUAUUUGCUUACCUUUUGCGGCGUUUUUCUCAUAAACGCCGCUAAUGCCUUUGAUACUAAUAAAUAUUUAAAGUUAAGAUUCAAUCCAAUUUUCUUCUUGUUUAUAUAUUUGAAAGGUUUAAUUAUUUCUUAAAUUCCUUUAAAUUAAGUUUGUUUUGUCUCAAACAAUAUAUUUAAUUUGUAAAUUUUGUAAUUGUGUAAGAAAUUAAUUUUAAAAAAUGAAACCAAACUUCCUUACGAAGACUUUGUAUCCACGAGUUUAAUUUUUUGUGCAGCUGAUAGAAUUUAUCCAAUUUGAUGAUUUUGAUAAAUUAUAUUACUGUCUAAACCCUAAACCCUAAACUAUAAACUUUAAGCCCCUAACCCCUAAAACCCUAACCCUAACCCUUAAACACACAACCAUAAACCAUAAACCCUAAACCCUAAACCUACACCCUAAAUUAUAACCAUUAAACUCUUAACACUAAACCCUAAACCUUAAACCCUAACCCCCUAAAUCCUAAACCUUAAAACUAAACCAUAAAAUCUAAAUCCUAAACUCUAACCCUUAAACCCCUAACACCUAAACCUUAAACAUAAAACCCUAAACCAUAAACAUAAACCAUAAACCAUAAACAUACACCCUAAAUCGUAACCAUUAAACUCUUAACACUAAAUCCUAAACCUUAAACCCCAAACCAUAUACCUACACCCUAAAUAUAUAUAUUACAAGGGACAAAAGUAAUUAAAAAAAUCUUAUUGCUUACAUAAACCUUAAAAUAAAUUGAUUUUUGUCAUUUUAUCAAUAACCCUAACCCUUAAACCUUAAUAACCUAAACCCCUAAAACCAUGAAUAGUACUAAAACCCUAACUAUAAAAUAAUAAACCUCAAACCUCAAACUCUAAACCAUAAACCCUAAACUCACAGAUACCAUUUACUUAAAUCUGAUCUCCACCUUCUGUCUGAAUGCUAAAUCUCUUUUUACAGCAAUCCAAAAUCACUCCAUGUUCAGAUAAGCAAUCCAUUCCUAGUAUUAUAUUAAAAUCCCCAAAUGGCAUAAUCAACAGGUCAACAGGAAAAGUUUUAUUCUUUAUAAUUAACGGGUAUCUCAGACAAACCUGAUUCACUACUACUGUUUGCCCCAAUGGACUCGACACUUCUACAGACACUCUAGACAUCUCAGAUUUAAAUUUUCCCAGUUCAACUAAUUUUGAAUUUAUAUAAGAGUGUGAAGAUCCGAGAUCAAUAAAAGCAUAAUAAGCUCCGAAUACAGUAAAAAUAUACAUGUUACUACAUCGUGGGUAUCGCCUUCUUCCCGAGUUCUAACCACGUAAGCUCUAGCGGGUACUUUAGCUUCAGAUUGUUGGGUAACAAUAUCACUGCUCUUCCUAACACCUCCUUCUCUGGAAACCGAGCUACCUGUACCUGACCCUCUGCCUCUAGCAGUAGAUACUAAUCUCUGUGAUGUCACGGGUGCAACACUAUCAGUUUUCAGACAAUCUCUGAUGAAAUGGUCUGUAGAACCACAUUGAAAACAACCUCUAGUUAAUUUCCAGCACUCCCCUCUGUGUUUCUUUCCGCGAUGCUGACAGUCUGGAAUUUCUACACUCCGAGGUGGACCUCUCACACUACCAGUAGAUACUGUUGUCUGUUUCCCUUUGCUUCUACCACCUCUAUCUGAUCUAAAACUGGAUCUCCAACCACCUUGGGAUUCCUUUGAUCUUUUUGGCUGUGGAUUUAAACUUGUAGUUCCCGCACGUUUCCUAUUUAAUCUGACACUUUCAAUCUUUUUGUCGAGGCCUAACACUUGCUCUACCAUUUUGGCUCGCUCAAUCAAAUCUACAAGCUCAAUAAUCCGGUGAGAUACUAACUGUACCUUGAUCUCGUCUCGCAAACCCCGUAAAAAUCUUUUGCAACUAUCAGCUUCUGUUGGAAUAAACUCGGAGGCAUUUCUGCUGAGUCUUGAGAAUUCUCUCUCAUAAUCUAUUACCGACAUAUCACCCUGUUGUAACAUUAAAAACUCUUGUUUCUUGUCUUCGAUAUACAUCUCUUCGACAUAUUUCUUUUGAAAUUCCUUCUGAAAUAGAUCCCAUGUUAUCUGAUCAUCCGGUAAAUGUCGAACCACUGAUUACCACCAUAAAUAAGCUUCCCCUUAUAGUAAUGAUACAACACAAAUUAAACACUCCCAGGGGGUACAGUCCAAUUGCUGCAAAAUUCUUUUAGUCGACUCCAUCCAAUUUUCAGCUGCGGAUGGAUCGACUCCUUUUAGACCCAUAAAUUCAGUAGCACCAUAUUUCCUCAGUUCUUUUAUGGGGGCCCGUAUUUGAGUAGGUGCUGAAGUUGUAGCAGGAGUAGUUCCUGCUACUCUUUAUAGUGCAUCGGUAAUUACUCAUAAUAUAUCAGAAUCAUAUCUAUCAUUUCUUCUAGGUGGAUUUCUUACUGGAUUUAUGCUAGAUGUAACUGACUCCGUUUCAUCUAAUCUAUACGACUACUCGUCUCUGGUAUACAUUUCUUCAUCAGUAUCAUUUAUUCUUUCAUCAGACAUCUUUAAUCUAUAAAACAUAAACAAACAAUUAGGUUAGCAUCCAAGAAUCCCGACUCAGUUUUGACUCAUCAGUGGCAUGUACCUCUAGACUCAAUUCCGAGCCUGAUUUAGACUGAGAAUCGACUAAACCUGAUAGCUCUGAUACCAAUAAAAUGUAACACCCCCUAACCCUAAUCUGUCGCCGAAAUAAGGUUACGAGGCAUUACCGGACAUAUCAGACAAUCUAUAAACAAUUUGUUAAAUAAAUAACAAACAUAUUAUAAUAUAAUCGUAAAUUCAUAUAAAUAUUUAUUUUACUAAUUGACUUCAUUAUUAUUAUUUUAUUUUAUGUGAUUAAAAAAACUCAAUAUAACCCAUUUAUAAAUAUUUAACCUUCCCUGCAAUUUCAAACCGCAACCAAUUCACAAUUCAUAUAAUUUCAUGUUCAAAUAACGUAAACAUAUUUUAAAAAUUAACUUAGUAAUUUACUAAAUAAAUAUUCGCAUAUAUUGUUUAAAUAAAUAAACUUCAUUCAUUCAAUUUCAGUUUUAGCACCAAACAUACCAUUUUAUAACUUAACGUUUCAUUUAUCAUUCAAACAUUAGAGACCAAUUCUUUACAACCAAAACUUACAAGACUCUUUAAUAAGACCAAAGUACAUGCCACAUUUACCAAAGGAAAAAUACAUCACCAAAGUUACGCUGAAGUCGGGAUUGAUUUGGAUGCUGAACCGGGACCUUUGACUUCUAUCGACCUGCGCACGGAAACAACUAUACGCUGAAUAUUUCAUACUCAGUGGUAUUACCAUAAUUCAAAUUAUAACAAUAAUAAACAUGUAGUGCAUAAAUCAUACAUACAAAUUUAAAUUUAAAUUCAAAUUUCAUAUUUCAACAAUAACAAUUCAUCAAAUAAUAUCAUAUGUCCACAAUUUUAAACUUGGACACAUCAUGAACCUUAGGUUCAUUCCUCAAUUCCAUAUCACAUUUCAAUUCACAAUUUAACUUUUUCAUCUCAUUUCAGUAGCUCGAUUGAUCAAUUCAUUCGGUUUAUCAUUUCAUUAGUUACCCUAUUAACAAAAUUCAGAUUUUGGCGGAUACACGGAUCCAACCAAACACUCCAGUAUGGCACCCAGUGCCUCAUCGGAUAGUUCGAAGCAAUAGUUGACACCCAGUGUCUCAUCGGCAAAGCCGAAGAAAGUUGGUACCCAGUACCUCAUCGAAUCUGUAACAACCCGGUUUUGACCCUAAUCGAAACAGUGGUUUCAGGACAACAAAUCUGAGUCUAAAAAAUAUUUUAAUAUUAUUUUAUGUCUUUAUUAUGUGUCAAUUUAUUUGUGUGAAAAUUUCGUGUGAAAAUUUUAUCGUUUGUGUGCUCGAUUUUAUAAAAGGACUUAAUCACGUAAAAUGCAAAAGUGGCUGGCAAUUUGUUAAAGUACUAUAUUGCCAUGGCUUUUAUAAUGUGGGGUCCUUAUGUUGAUAUUAUACCAUUGAAUUUUUGAGUGGAUUUUUAUGGACAUGGUUAGUUAAUUAUUAAAGUAAAAUCAUUAAUGUUAGUUUUGUAAAUUAGUUAAAUAUAUUAAUAUAAUAAAACAUAAAAUAAAAGCCAUGCAUGUUAUUCAUCUUUUUGGCCGAAUGUGAGAAGAAAAGAAAGUCAUUUACCUUGUUAAGAGUUCGGCACUUUCAAGUUUGGAUUUAGGUAUAGAUUUAGUUCGGUUUUUGAUAAUUUUUAUGUUUUUGAGAUUGUUGCUUUGAAUACUUCACAACCCAUGUCUUAAUUUUGUGAAUUGUUGAUGAUUUUGAAAUGUGCCAUUGAUGAAUGCUUGAACAUUGUGAUAGUUGAUGAUGAAAAAUGAAAGAAAUGUGAUAGAUUAACAUAUUUUGUCUUUGAAUUUUUAGUGAAUUUGAGAAAUUAGAGCUAAAUUGUGAAAAUGAAUUCUUGAGGGAUUAAAAUGUGAAAUAAAUGAAAUGUGUGGACUUGUAUGAAGACAAGGAAUAUUCGGCCCUAGCUUAGUGUGGGCAAAUUUUGUGUAUUUUGUGUUUUGCGUAAAAAGGAUUAAAUUGCAAAAAGUGUAAAAUGUUAGGGGCAAAAUAGUAAUUUGCCCAUUUAUGUAUUUUUGGACUAAAUUGAAUGUUUUGAUGAAUAAAAAGGUUAAAUUUGAUUAUGUUUAGAUCAAGAAACGAAGAAAACAGAUUUGGAUUGGGGGAAAACGAAAGUAAUUGAAUAGUCGAUCUUGUCCGCUGAUAUCCGAGGUAAGUCUAAUAGCAAAUAAACAUCAUUACAUUAGUAUAUAUAUGUUCUAUAAGCAAAAAUAUAAUGGUGUGAAUUGUAUAAAAGUGUUAGCUGAAUGUAUAUAUAUGUUUUGAAUUUUAUAAGUUAAAAAUAAAAUGUAUGAAUUGUAUAUAUAUAUAUAUAUGUGUGUGUGUGUGUAUGUGUGUUAGUCAAUGUAUAUUUGAGUUUUAUAAGUUAAAAUAAAUUGCAGAAAUUCUAUAUAUAUUUAGCCGAAUAUAUAUAUGCUGGGUUUUGUAAGUUGAAUGAAAUUUAAUGAAUUACAUAUAUGUUAGCCGAAUGUAUAUAUAUGUUUUGAAUUUUAUUAAAAUGUAUGAAUUGUAUAUAUAUGUGUGUGUGUUAGUGAAUGUAUAUUUGAGUUUUAUAAGAUAAAAUAAAUUGCAUAAAUUCUAUAUAUAUUUAGCCGAAUAUAUAUAUAUGCUGAGUUUUGUAAGGUGAAUGAAAUUUAAUGAAUUGCAUAUAUGUUAGCCGAAUGUAUGUAUAGAAUUCAAUAGGUUGAAAUUAAUCAUAUGAAUUAUAUGUAUAUUAGCCAAUGUAUGCUUUGAGUUCGAUAAUUUGAAGCUUAUAGUAUAAAAAAAAUAUAAUAACCGAAUGCAUGUAUUGAGUUCUAUGAGCUGAAUUUACUGAUAUGAACUAUACAUAUGUUAUUCGAAUGUAUGUUUGCUACGAAGAUUAGAAUAUAAUUCGAUUUUUGCUGAGAUACGAUUAUUGAAAAGAUUUAUAUGAGAUAUAAAGAAUAUCUAGAUUUUCUUAUAAAGAAUUUUGUGAAAGACCAAUUUCAUAUCCGUGGUAUUCAGGCUCGAUGCCUAGCAGGCUUAAUGCCGGUGAAUUAUUUUAGACUUUAUGUCUAGCAGGCUUAAUGCCGGUGAAUUAUUUCAGACUUUAUGUCUAGCAGGCUUAAGGCCGGUGAAAUGAUUUGGACNNNNNNNNNNNNNNNNNNNNNNNNNNNNNNNNNNNNNNNNNNNNNNNNNNNNNNNNNNNNNNNNNNNNNNNNNNNNNNNNNNNNNNNNNNNNNNNNNNNNNNNNNNNNNNNNNNNNNNNNNNNNNNNNNNNNNNNNNNNNNNNNNNNNNNNNNNNNNNNNAUGAUUUUGGGUUAUAUAUAAUGGAUAAGUACAUGAACAUUUAUUUAUAUGUAUUUGAUGAGCAUAUAAAUGUUUGGAUCUAUGUGUUUAGUGAAUAGGCACAUAUAUUGGUUGUUAUGAAAAUUGUUGAAUAUACAUGUAUGCAUUCGGCACAUGUGGGUUAGAAGUAUAAAUGUGCAUUUGGUUCAUGUAGUUGAUAAAUAAAAAUAUAAGCUUUUGACAUAUGUAUUUGUAAGAUCAUAGAUAUGCAUUCGACGAAAUGCAAAUGGUAAGUAUAUUAGAAAUUAGUAUAUGCAAUUAAUGAUUAUGUUUGUAACUUGAUUAUAAGCAUAUAAUGUUUAUACAUAUGUUCGUUUAUAUGUAUUUUUAAUAUGCUAUAAACUUACUAAGCUAUAAAAGCUUACUUUGAUUGUUUUUGUCCAUUUGUUUUAUAGAUAAAAACCAAGUUGCAGACUCGGGGAUCGUUAGCGAAGAUCAUCACUCUAUCUACUAUCUCAGUAUUAAAACGUUUAAAUUUUAACUUAUGGCAUGUAUAGGCUAAAAAAAAAUAUUUUUGGAGCCGUACUUUAAUGUACUGUAUAUAUAUAUAUAUAUAAUUAAUAGCCAUAUGAAACUAGCUUAUUUUUCUUACGGUUUAAUUGAACUGAAAUGUUAUGUUUUGUUAUAAAAGGUUAAAGUAAAAAUUUAUAAUUAUACUUACUUCAUAUUUUACUAAUUUAACAUAAAUGUAAAAUUCUUGAAUUCUACUGAAUGUCUGUGUUAAGUUGCGUUUUAUCUUGUAACGAUUUGUAACCCUAAUUUAUCGACGUAUACGGGUUAGGAGUGUUACAGAAUCUAUCCGAAGAAAUAUAGUGACACCCAGUGUCUCAUCGACUCGAGUUCGAAGCAUCCCUGAACUCUUCCAAUCCUAUGGCAUGCCAACUAUAUUCGACUCAGCCCGACUAUUUAAUAGGUUCUCCAAAUUCACAUUUCAAUUCAAUCCACUUUUUCACUUUCAAUCACAAUUCAAUUCAAAAUUCACUUUUCCAUUUUUUCUUUCAAAUCAAUAUUCAACUCAAUCCACACAUAUAUUCAUCAUUCGAUUGAAUUUCUUUAACUUAAUAAUAAUACUUACCUUAUAUUUCACUUACCAUACAUAUAAAUUUAAAUAUAGCAUUUAAUAAUAAGUUAUUUGAAUUAUAGUAAUACAAACCCGAAAUCCGCGAUUACUCCUCGAUGAUCUUCUCUUUUCCUUUCUAUGCCGAUGUCUCGGGUUCUUUAUUAGCUUCGAAAAAUGAAGAUAAUUUCAUAAUCAAUAAUAGACUAUUAAUUUAUAUCUAAUUAAUUGAAUUUCUAUUCAAAUUUCUACUUUAAUUUGAAUUUAGUCUUAACUAAAUUCACUUUUUUUUCUAUCUCAAUUCAUACUUUAUUUCAAUUCAAAUUUCAACCAAACUUAGACAUAACUAUCUAAAUUUUAUCAUAAAACCCUAAUUUCGAAGUUCUUGCAAUUUAGUCUCUACUAUGUAGAACUAAUAGCUUCUUUUACAAUUUAAUCCUUCAAUCAAUUCUAACUAAAAAUUCAUUCAAUUAAACCUCUAAUUCAACAAUUUGUUCAACAUAUAUCAUGUUCAAAAACCUAAAAAAAACUUCUAAAACCUCAACUUAAUUUCAACAAAACUCUAUUCUAAAGCUUCUAAAACAUCAAAAUUAAAAGAAAAUGGCUUAAUUGACUUACCCGUUAAAGCUUCAAACCUUAAAACCCUAGUUUUUCCUUUUAUUUUUCUUUUUCUCCUUUCCCUGCUCUAUUUCGAAAUCGCUAUUCUGUUUCUUCUUUCUUUAUUUGUUUCCUUUCUUUUUAUCUUAUUUACUUUAUAUUAUAUUUGAUUUAAUUAAUAAUUAAUAAUUAUAAAAUAUCUUUAUACUUAAAUUACAAGUAAAUUAUGUAUUUAAAUUACAAUUGUACCAAUAUGAUUUUUUUACACAUGUAUAUUUUUAUUACCAUACAUUUGUUACAGUUAAAUUGAUUUUAUAAUAAUAUAAUAUAAUAUAAUAUAAUAUAAUAUAAUAUAAUAUAAUAUAAUUUAUAAUAUACUUUUUAGCUAAUUAAUAUAAUAUUUUAUUAAUAUAAUAAUUUAAUAUAUAAAAUAUCUUUUACUUACAAUUCAAGAAAAUAUACAAUUAUAUUACAAGUGUACAAAUACAUAUAUUACACAUGUACAAUUUUAUCAUCAUACAUUUGUCUUUAUUUUAAUUUAUUAAUAAUAAUAGUAAUAAUAAUAGUAAUACAUAUACCGCCUCACCUAUUAAAAUGGGCACAAUUGCAUAUUUAGUCCUCUUUAUUUUAUUUUGAUCUAUAAUUAGACUUUUACCCUUUAUUCACUUUAGUCCUUUUUCUUAUUUUCUCUUAAUUAAACUAAAUUAACUUAAUUAAAAUCUAAUUAAACACAAUGCUAGACUCAUAAAUAGUCCUAAUAAUUAUCUAUUGGUUCAAUUUUCUAAGACGAAGGUUCGAUACUACACUUUUCUGAUGUCUGUGAAUUUUGGGUCAUUACAAUUUUCUUAUUAUUUUCAAAUUAACCCUCAAUGUCACGAAACUAUAAAAAAUAAAAAAAAUUAGACCAAAUUACACAAAGUGUUGUUUAGGUUAAUUUUUUUUAGAAUAAAAACUAAAUGGAUAUAAUUUAUAAAUGUUGAGGGUUAAAUUCGUUACCAUGUGAAUUUUAAAAGCAUCCACCUUUAGCCAACUGGUGGCCCAAAAAGAUAAAAUUGAAUAUUUAUGCGAUUAUUCUGUAACUUUUCAUAGUUGAAUGACCAAAAAAAAAUUUACUAUUACUUAAGUGAUUACUAGUGUAAAUUACCCUUAUUAUUAUUAAAAGAAAUAAAUUCAUUAAUAUUGCUAGUUCAUGAGCUACCCAUUAUCAAACCUCCCAGCGUGGUGAAAUAGACAUAAUUUGUUGAGGGAUAAAAACAAUAUAAAUAAUAUUUUUCAUCUUAUUAUAGACUAUUUUUAAAUUGAAUAUUGUUGAACAACUUUUAACUUUUGGAGAAAAAUAUUUGAAGUGUCGUUCAUUGGGCAUCUAGUCAAAUUCUCAACAAUGGUUAGUAAUGUUCCCUGUAAGGUUUUGUCUUUCGUAUUUGCCAAAGGUCCUAAAGGGUUCAUGAAAGGGGAACAUCUCAUUUGGUAGAAAUACAACCUGCAUUGCUCAUGUAACAAUCCAUUUUUAGUGGUACAGGAAACGAUGGUUUCAGAAUCACAUUUUUUGAUGAUUAAGUUUGUGAAUAUUAUUUUUUAAUAUUUACGAGUUUAUCUUAGUGUCAUAUUGAUUUUUUGUCUUGAAAUUUCAAUGAAACGGUUAGUAAUUAAAGUAUAAGGACUAAACCAUAAAAACCUUAAAGACUUAAUUGUUAUUAAUUUUAUUGGUUUAAAGGCUUGAAAAGUAUUAAGCCAAGUGUUGAAAUGGCAAAUUACUCUUUUAAUAGAUAGUGUACGGUUUGGUAAGCUUUGUUUACUAAAUCAUGCAAAUUUUAUAAUUAAUAAAAUAAAAUGAAAUGAGAUAAUAAUAGAACAUAUUGUAGUGGAAGGAAAGAGGGAAGGGCUAUUCCAUUUUUUUUUCUUUUUUCAUCCAUCUUCUUCACGAAAUAAGAAGAAAGAAUUAGGGCUCUUAACGUCGAACUUUUGGCCUUGUGCAUGGUACAAAAAUUUCAUUCUUUUCUUGUAAUUUUUAUGUUUUUGAGAUCGUUUUAUUUUGAUUUAGCUAACUCGGGUAUUAAAUCGUAAAACUAUUAAAGUUUUAAAAAGUUACCAUUGUUGUUCUUUGAAGCUUUUGAUGUUCAAUAGAUGAAUGUUAAGCUUGGAAAUGAAAUAGGGACUAGUUUGUAAAGAAAAAUUGGUUAAUUUUGACUCUAGGAACUAAAAUGCAAUUAUUUCAAAAUUGUCAUGGAAUUUCUAUACUUUUGGCUUUUAUUGAGUUAUAAAAGGAAGAAAUUAAAAAUGGAGUGAAAAACAGAGCUUAAAUGUGAAAGAUAUGAUUGUUUUCAAAUUUUAGGACUCAAUUGAAUAAAAUGUGAAACUUUAAAAUUUUUAAAAAAUAAAGAAAAUAGAUCCAUGCAUAUCAUAUUAUGGAAAAAGUACAUACACAACAUUCAACACAACAAAUUUUCUGAUUUUAAUGUUCAACCUUGACAUAGGGCCUCCUUGAUCAUUCUAUCAAAGUUGGUAACAGAAGAUCCUCCAACGCUAAUGGCAGAUUUAGCUUUUUUCUUCCAUUCCAAUGCCUUUUACCUUAUCCUUUGCCCAUUAUCUCCUUCCAUUAUCUCUUUAACAAGAGCCUCCACAUCCUUACACUUUACAUCAGGGUUGAUUUCCAUUCUAUUGCCCCAUGUGGUGCACGAAUAUCAACAAUUUGUUUGUUGAUCACCAAAGAAAGGCCAACAAAUUAAAGGCACACCUUCGGAUACAACUUCCAACAGAGAAUUCCAUCUGCAGUGUGUUAAGAAAAUGCCAACCGCUAGGUGGGACAACACUUGUUGUUGGGGACACCAGCUUGUUAUAAAGCCCCUUUCUUUUAUUGCCUCCAUGAAUUCUCUCGGAAAAACAACCGAUUCUCCCAUCACAAUGUCAAGCCUAACUACCCAUAAAAACGGGUAUUUACUAUUUGCAAGUCCCCAAGCAAAUUCUUCCAAAUGAUUGUUCGACAUCAUUGUUACACUCCCAUAAUUCACAUACACCACCGACUUGGGUUUCAUUUUGUUAAGCCAUUCGAUGCAACUUGUAUCCUCCUUUCAUAGGCUUGAAUUUAGUGAGUUAUGUUGGAUUUCAAGUAGGUUCCUACUUAAGGAGGUGAGUGGACCAAUUGCAUAAAUAUUAGGGGACUUAGAUGCAAGAACUUGUAGCACUUCUUUGUCCAAGUCAUCGAACGUGUUGAAGAUUGUUGAAGAUGAAUUUAAGCAUUCUUGUGAUAUGUCCAUGAUGUAAUUAAACAUGAAGUCAUCAGGCUCAGUGGUUCUUAUGAAGCUUGGUAUGUCCUUGAGACAUAUGUUAGGCAUACCAGAGAUCCAAUCAAUGCGCAUCUCAAGUGUCCCAUCGUUAGCAAAGCUUUCAUCUACAACGAAAACAAAAUGCAUGUUUUUGUUUCAAUAUGCAAAAAAUAAGCAUGGAGUAUGUUGCGUGUAACCCAUAGAACUUCAAAGAGAUUAUUAUCAAUGAACAUAAGAUAUCCCAAAAUUAAGUUACAAAGCACAAAGAAAACAUAAACUUUGUAACCUUUGAAUGGAACAAUGCCUCUUUGAGCUAGUUCUUUGUAGUGCAGAAAUCCCAGAAAGCUAACGGUUGAAGAAGUCCAGAGUUGAACAUAAGGCACCCCAAUGAGUUGAGCUGCCUUGGUACCACAGUUCAUGAUUCCAUCACAAACUAUACAAGUAGUAGGCUGUAGUUGGGGUGAGGAGUUAAGCUUAGAUAGUAGCUCCAAGAAUGGAGCCAAACAAUUAUUUCGUGUGGCAAUGAAUAUUUCCGGAACAGACUGAGUCGCAUCAGAAUCGAAAGGUGGCAGCCCAUCGGGUAUUGCUGCAAAUUGGAAAUCAGGCAGACCCUUAAUGUUGAAUGUUGGUCAGUAGGCAACAAUGAACCAAACAACAAGCAGGCCAUGACGACCUAGCCAUGCAGGAGCUGCUGGAAGAAGCUCAACUGUUCUAAUUUUUGUUCAUUUUGUAAUCUUAAGUUAAUGUAAUGUACUUUAGUUCAAUUUCAACUAAGUUAGGCUUGUGAUUGAUGUAAUUAGAUUGUGUAUGAACUGUAAACUCAGCUUUAACCAUUCUUACAAGUUUUAUUUUUCAAGUUUCAAUGUAUUAGUGGUGGUAGGUAAUGUUUAGGUGACUGCGUACUAUUUUUUGACAAGCUUAAUGCUUGGUUUAUGUAUUAGCAUUGUGCCAUUGUUCAAUUUGAAUGAAUUCAGAAAGUUUUCUUCCAUAUACUCUCUAAAUUUUCUUUGUUUUUCCUUAUUUUAUUUUGUCUUAAGCUCGAUUAUUUCUUAGGCAAGCCUCGAGCCUUGCUGUUCAAGUUUCUGCAAACUUGUUUGUUUCUUUGUUCUCAACACCAACAAUUGAUAUCUAGAGCUUUAAUCUUAAGGGACCUAUUAUACAAAACGAUGGCCUCAUCAAGCUUCUCACAAGCUGCACCACUAGUCUUCAAUGGAGAGAGCUAUCACAUAUGGGUGGUUAAAAUGAAGACCUACCUGCAGGCAUUUGAUCUGUAGGAGGUGGUCAACUCAGAUGUUGAACAAGAGCUACUUAGAGCCAAUCCAACAAUGGCUCAAAUCAGGCAGCAUGCUGAUGAAAGGACCAAGAGGCGCAAAGCCAUGUCUUGCAUCCAGAACUCGAUGUCAGAUGUGAUCUUUACAAGGAUCAUGGCCCGUGAAACACCAAAGCAGGCCUGAGACAAAUUAAAAGAGGAGUUUCAAGGGACAAAGAGGACAAGGCAGCAACAGUUGUUAAACUUGAGAAGGGACUUUGAGAAUUUGAAGAUGAAAGAAGAAUAAACUAUCAAAUAGUACUCAAACAGGAUUAUGGUUGUGGUAAACAUCAUAAGGCUCUUUGGUGAGCAGUUUACUGAAGCAAUGAUAGUGGAGAAGGUUAUUUCAACCUUGCCUAAGAGGUAUGAGGCAAAAAUCUCAUCUCUCGAAGACUCAAGGGACCUGUCCAGCAUAUCCUUCACAGAGUUGAUCAAUGCUCUCUAUGCGUAAGAGUAGAAAAGAGCCAGCAGACUGGAGGAGCACCAAGAAGGUGCCUUUCAGGCAAAGACCAAUACUGCCUACAAAGGCAUGAAGGCCUGGAAAGACAAGCCAAAGUUUGAUGCUGCAAGAAAAUGGGACCAAACCUGCAGGCAUUGUAAAAGGUUUGGUAAUCCAGAAGAAAAAUGUUGGUUUAGACCAGAUACAUUGUGUCAACAUUGCAAGAAGAAAGGGCAUGUUAAAAGGUUGUGCAAAAACAAGGGCAAACCAAGGUAGAACCAACCCCAACAAUCAAAGGCUGAGGCUCGAGUAGCCAAGGAAGACAGUGAUCAUAAAGAGUAAGUUUUUGCUGUGUCAUGCUCAGCUGCUCAGAAGAGGCUUUCAAAUGGCUAGCUCCUAGACAGUGGAUGCACCAACCACAUGACACCAUAUGUUGCCAUCUUCAAGUCCUUGGACAGAAGCUACAGAACCAAAGUUAAGAUUGGUAAUGGUCACUUUAUAAAAGUAGAAGGUAAGGGUGAUGUGUUGAUAUGCACUCCCACAGUUGCCAAGGUCAUCUCGAAUGUGCUAUUGGUUUUCUGAGAUUGACAGAAACCUGCUCAGCAUAGCUCAAUUGCUAGAGAAAGGGUAUUCUGUAGUGUUCAAAGGCAAGGAGUGCCAAAUCAGUGAUCCAAGUGGAUCCAAAUUCAUGGCAGUCACUAUGGCUGAUAAGAGCUUUGUACUUGAUUGGACAGAGGACUUAGACACUACCUAUACAGCUACAACAGAUGAAUCUAAGCUUUGGCAUCAAAGACUUAGUCAUGCCAACUACAGAUCAAUAGACCAGUAAUGCAGAGAUGAUUUGGCUGAAAAUUUCAUUGGUUCAGUUAAAAAGUAGGAGGUUUGUGAGGUAUGUCAGCUAGGGAAGCAAGCCAGACUCCCAUUUCCCUCAAAUCAAGCCUGGAGAGCCUUUGAAAGGUUGCAGCUAGUGCACACUAAUGUAUGUGGUCCUACGAAGACUGAGUCAUUGAAUGGAAGCAGGUACUUCAUCCUGUUUAUUGAUGAUUUCUUAAGGUUUUGUUGGAUUUAUUUCUUAAAACAGAAAUCAGAAGUAGGUUCAGUGUUUACAAAGUUCAAGAUUGCUGCUGAAACUGAAAUCGGCUGCAAAAUUAAGACCAUAAGGUCUAACAAUGGGACUGAGUACACCUCAGCUCAGUUCCAAGCCUUUUGUGAUGAGGCAAGCAUCAAACACCAGCUCACCAACACCUACACUCCUCAACAAAAUGGUCUAAGUGAGAGGAAAAACAGGAGUUUGAUGGAUAUGGCCAGGUGCCUACUGUUUCAGAAGAAUCUGUCCAAAACCAUAUGGGCAGAGGCAGUCAAUACUGCUGUGUACAUUCAGAAUAGACUUCUCACCAAGGCCCUGGCUCAUAAGACUCCAUUCGAAGCCUGGUGCGGGUGUAAACCUUCACUGGCUCAACUAAGGGUCUUUGGUAGCAUAUGCUAUGCUCAUGUACCAAUAUUAAAGAGAGACAAAUUAAGUAGAAAAGCUGAACCUGGUAUACUGGUGGGGUAUAGCUUAGUCAAAAAGGGCUAUAGGAUCUUGGACCCUUCAACAAGCAAAGUGUUAGUAAGUAGGGAUGUAGUAAGUAGGGAUGUAGUGUUUGAUGAGAAGUCAUGCUAGAAUUGGGAAAAGAAUGAGCCACAGGCAGUUUCUGAAGAUCUUGUAACAAAUCAAAUUGAUUCAGAUCAAAAUGGUCCUGAAAUGGACAUUGAUGAUGAACCAGUCAGGGGCACUAGACCUUUGGCUAAAAUCUAUGAAAGGGCUCAAGUAGCCAUAGUAGAGCCAAGCUGCUUUGAAGAGGCUGAAGCUCAGCAAGGGUGGAAGUAAGCAAUGGCUGAUGAAAUCAGCAUGAUUGAGAAGAAUCAGACUUGGGAAUUAGUUGAAAGACCAACAAAAAGGAAGAUCAUUGGAGUGAAAUAGGUUUAUCGAGCCAAGCACAAUGCUGAUGGGAGCUUGAAUAAGUUAAAAGCAAGGUUGGUUGUUAAGGGAUUUAGCCAGAAGUAUGGUUUAGACUACCUGGAGACCUUUGCACCAGUGGCCAGACUCGACACCAUUAGGCUGCUGAUUGCCUUAGUAGCACAAAUGGAAUGGAAAAUCCACCAUCUCGAUGUGAAAUCAGCCUUCCUAAAUGGAUUUCUUGAGGAAGAAAUCUAUGUUGAACAACCAUAGGGUUUUGAAGUGGUUAGCAAAGAACACAUGGUCUACAAACUGAAGAAAGCCUUGUUUGGCUUAAAACAGGCUCCAAGGGCCUGGUAUAGCAGUAUUGAUAGCUAUCUGAUCAGUUUGGGAUUUGAAAGAAGCAAGAGUGAGCCAACUUUAUAUGUCAAGAAGGAAGGUGCACAAACUCAGCUCAUAGUAUCUAUGUAUGUUGAUGACCUGCUAGUGACAGGAGGAGAUCAAACAAUGCUGAUUGAUUUCAAAACCAAAAUGUAACAAGUGUUUGAGAUGUCUGAUCUAGGAAAGAUGACCUAUUUUCUAGGCAUGAAAGUGACACAGAUGCACAAUGGGAUUUUCCUAAGUCAGAAAACCUUUGCUUCAAAAAUUUUGACCAAGUUCUCAAUGGGAAACAAUAAAGCAACAAAGACUCCUGUUGCUAUUGGAGAAAAGUUAUCGACCAAUGGUGAGUUUGUGAAGGUUUGUGAAACAACCUAUAUGAGCUUGGUUGGUUGCUUGUUGUACUUAACAGCCACUAGGCCUGAUAUUAUGUUCACAGUAAGUUUGCUCUCAAGGUUCUUGCAUUGCAACAACGAAAAGCUAUGGCUUGAUGUAUAGCAAAGCUGAAAGCUUCAAGUUAGUUGGAUACACUGACAGUGACUGGCCUGGUUCGAUUGAUGACAUGAAAAGCACUUCAGGGUAUGCCUUCAAUCUCGGUUCAGCCAUGUUCUGUUGGAGCUCGAAGAAGCAAACAUUGGUGGCUCAAUCUACUGCUGAAGUAGAAUAUGUUGCAGUAGCAAAUGCUGUCAACCAAGCCAUUUGGCUAAGGAAAAUUAUGGUUGAUUUGAAUUUAGAUCAAAGGGAAGCAACAAAGAUCUUUUGUGGCAAUCUAUCUGCUGUUGCAAUUGAAAAGAAUCCAGUGUUCUAUGGAAGAACAAAGCAUUUCAACAUUAAACUUCAUGUUGUUCGAGAAAUAGAGUAGGCACAGGAGGUGAAACUGAUUCAUUGCAAUUCAGAGGAUCAACUUGCUGACAUUUUGACCAAGGCCCUUAGUGCAACAAGGUUCUAGCACUUAAGGGAGAAAUUAGGAGUUUGCAACAUGCUAACCAAAGAGGAGAGUUGAAUGUUUAUCAGCAUGCGACAAUAAACCAAAUAGCAAGUAGGCCAUGAAGACCUAGCUAUGCAGGAGCUGCUGGAAUAAGCUCAACUGUUCCAAUUUUUGUUCAUUUUGUAAUCCUAAGUUAAUGUAAUGUACUUUAGUUCAAUUUGAACUAAGUUAGGCUUGUGAUUGAUGUAUUUAGAUUGUGUAUGAGCUGUAAACUCAGCUUUGACCAUGCUUACAAGUUUUGUUUUUCGAGUUUCAAUGUAUUAGUGGUGGUAGGUAGUGUUUAGGUGACUACUUACUAUUUUUGGACAAGCUUAAUGCUUGGUUUAUGUAUUGGCAUUGUGCCAUUGUUCAAUUUGAAUGAAUUCAGAAAUUUUUCUUCCAUAUACUCUCCAAAUUUUCUUUGCUUUUCAUUCUUUUAUUUUGUCUUAAGUUCGAUUGUUUCUUAGGCAAGCCUCGAGCCUUACUGUUCAAGUUUCUGCAAACUUGUUUGUUUCUUUGUUCUCAACACCAACACUUAAUAGCUUCUUAUCCUCUAGACCGUAUCAACUGUCUAUGAUUGAACUCGGAGUUGACAAAGGUUAUAUAGAAGCCUCUAGAGUGCAAGAGCUUGGCCAGUUGCAUCAUGGGGUUAAUAUGACCUUGUGUUGGGAAUGGGAGGCAUACUGCAUGCAAUUUAAUUGAAACCAUCUUUCUGCAAAUAAUAAUUAAGCAAAGAAGUCAAGUAGGUAGUGAAAAUUGAAGAUACUAUUACUAACUUGUGACAUUAUAUGCAGAAAGUGAGGGGAUAGAGAUAAACAGGAUAAAGCAGGCGAAAAUUAUGGCUCCAUUUAAUUAUGGUGUAAAAUAAUUGCCAUUGGAUGAGGUUGAGAAAAUAUCAACUGCUUCUUAAUAGUGCUUAAUAAUUCUAAGCCACGUGAGUUUGGAUGGGUGAUUGGGUGUGGUGCGGUGAGUUUAGUUUACUUUUUAUUUCACGUUACAGUAUCGCUACAGUAUCUAAACUCACCGCCACAGAAAUUUUUACACUAACCGUAAGUAAAAACACCGUUCAUUCAAACCCAUAAAAGUAACAAUAUUCAAAAGUGAAAGUUACUUGCGCUUAGUAAAUAAUGUGUUAUAAUUCGGUAAGGAAUGAAUUUAAACAUGCUUGAUAACGAUUGGUGAGAGAUGCAACGAAAAUACAUUCAAGAAUUUUGAUAUGUUAAUCUAUUGGCAAUGCCUCCUUUUUGUUUUUCGAAAUUGACUGCUCAAAACAAGAAACAAUGCCUUUAAAAAUGUGGGACAACCAAAUAAGAACCUGGUUUGAAUAAAUUAAACCUGGUUUGAAUAAAUUAAGGCAUUGUCUUUCCCCUGUUUCUUGUUUUCCACCUUUUUCCUUAAUGAAUAAAUUUUUUUUUGAUUGAAAAAAAAUUAAAAUAAUUAUUUGAAUGAACUAAUGUUUCUAUAAUAAUAAAUAAUUCAAAUUUUACUAAAUAAAAAAAUUACAGUAAUUAAAUCUCAAAUUUAAACAUAUAUAAUAAAAGGAUCAUAAUUAUAAUUAUAAAAUGACCGAAUAUAAUAUAUAUCAAACACAAAUUAUAUCAAAUAAAAAUGUAGCAACUAAAUCAUAAAUUUGCAUAUAGUAAAAAGAUAAAUUUACUGAUUAAAAAUUUAAUUAAAAUUCUUAAUUAAUAAAUAAAAAAUUUCAAUCAUCUAGAUUUUAUAUUGAAGAUAUAAUUAUUUUACAUAAACAUCUAUCUAAAUUUUAAUAAACAUUAGAAUAAAUAUCAUCAUUUAAUAUAAAAAAAUUAUAAUAAGUUGGUUUCAAUUAUAUUCAAAUACUUUAUGACCAAUUAAAUUAAUUAGGUAGCAAUUUUUUAGGGAAUGUAGCUAUUCUUAUUAUUUAUUAUUAAGGUUUAAGGGUGAAGAAACUCUUAAAUUUUUUUUAGAAAAAGUAAUUAAGUUUUUUUUUUACACUCAAUUUGGUAUUUAAAUUACCAAAAUAUAUCAAAAAGACCUUUUGGCCAUUUAUUUUAACAAUUGACUAUUAAAGUUGUCUUUAAACUUUUCCAGUUAAAUCCACCACGUGUCACAACUACGGCGUGACACGUGACAAAAAAAAUUAUAAAAAAAUAAAUCAACAAAAGUUAUAAAAAUUAUUAAAUUUUAAAAAAUAUAUUUAAAAUUUAUUAAAAAUUUUAAAAAAUAUAAAUAUCGUAAAAUUUUAUAAAAUCAUAAAUAAAUAUAAAAUGUAUCAAAAGGGCCCUUUAACUAUUGAUCGUUAAAGUUAAUGACCCUACUUUUUUUCAAUUAAAGUAAUCACGUGUCGCAACACAACGUGACAUGUGACAAAAAAAAUGUGGAUUGGUUGUGAGGAUGUUGUAAUUGAUUUAAUUCAUAAUGUUGUUGUCUAAGUUGCUUGCUAGAUGAUGUAGUCGGCUCAACUAUGGGUUGACUAGGGAUUGCAGGAUGGAGUGGCUACUCGUAAUGGCAAGGCAAUUGUACCGACAUGUUUUACUUAAUGGUUUAGAUACCUAACUUCAAAAGUGUAUGCAAUUUGAAUUGCUCUAGAUGUUUUUGUGCAAACAGAAUGGAUCCCUCAUAGCAGAAUCUCAAAUGUGUUUGUGGAAUCUCGUAUGCUUAACAAUAUCACUCAAAUGUGUCAAGGGAAGUUAUUUGUAUGGAUGCUGCCUUGGCUAAUAAACGAUAGGGUAUUAAAAUUUGAGUUGUUUUUGGGUUGGUGGACAUUUAUUUUUUGCUUUAUUGUUCUGGUCUCUAAUGGACUGCUUCAAGCGAGACGCAUAUUAGAUGCGCCUUGUAGUGUGUUUCUUAUGGGUUCUGUUUGUGUUUCGACUUUUUUUUAUUUUGUUGCUCUGUUCUGGUCUUUUUGUUGUGCGGAAGCGUGUAAAAGAGUAAAAUUAUUGUACUAAAAAAUCACACUAAGUUCAAUUUCCAGGAAAGAGAGGUGGAUCAUAAGGAUCGCUUAAGUACCAGGUCUUUCCUAGCCAUAAUAUCCCCCAAUCGUAAUUUAAUAUCACAAUAAAUCACUACAAUAAAACUCACAAAAUAUGCAGAAUAAUACCAUAAAGAACACAAGAAUUCAGUAAAUUUUGCCUACGUCCUCGGGCACUAUCAAAUAUAUUUCACUCCAAAAUACAAGUGAAAAUUUACAAAGAGAGAGAGAACAAUGCCUUAAGUAGAAAAUGGCAAAUAUAGGAUACUAUAAAUGAGAGAUGGUUAGGCCUAUUUAUAGUUGAGGUUCAGGGAUCAAAUUGCAAAGGCACUAUACAAUUAGGGACCAAAUAUUCCAAAUAUCUCAGAUUUCUUAUGUCAAUAUUUCGAAACCCAUAUCUUUGACUUUCCAAUAUUUGAUACCCAUAUCUUUGACUUUCCAUAAUAUGGAUGAUUGCCAAUAAUCUCCACCUUGAAGGUUUGAUUCGAAUAAUCUUAUCUUUACACAAUUCUCUCUGCCUUUGUCAACAACACUUGAUAGUGCCUUCUUCAACUGUUAAACUUGCAGAAUAUUGAUCAAGUUCAAACAAUGUUCGAACUUGAUUGUUGUUACCACCUUGGUCAUCAUAUCUGCGGGAUUAUCUGCAGUCUUAAUCUUCUGAAGGUGAAUUUUCCCCUCAUCAAUAAUUUCCCACACAAAAUAGAAACGUAUGUCGAUAUGCUUUGUACGUGCAUGAUAGACUUGAUUCUUUGCUAAAUGAAUAGCACUUUGACUAUCACAAUACACGUUAAUAUGCUCUUGAACCAAUCCUAAGGUUUUAACCAUACCUUGUAACCAAGUAGCUUUAUUUACAGCCUCUGUUACAGCCAUGUAUUCGGCUUCUGUGGUUGACAACGCAACUGUAGACUGCAGUAUAGACUUCCAACUUAUUCGUCCUCCAACAAGUGUAAACACAUAACCAGUGGUUGAUCUUCGUUUGUCCAAAUCACUGGCAUAAUCAGAAUCAACGUACCCAAUAUCACCUUUACCAAGUGUAGUAACCUGCUUGAACAGUAAUCCAAUAUUCAUGGUCUUCUGAAUAUACCGUAGAAUCCAUUUCACAACUUGCCAAUGUCCUUUUCCAGGAUUAUGCAUAUACCUGCUCACUAUACUAACUACCUGUGAAAUGUCGGGUCUUGUACACACCGUUGCAUACAUCAAGCUACCUACUACAUUAGAAUACGGAACUUGUAACAUGUAUUCUUGUUCUGUAUUCGUCGAAGGAGAUAGUUGUACAGAAAGCUUGAAAUGACAAGCCAACGGGGUACUUAUAGCUUUUGUCUGCUCGUUCAUGCCAAACUUCUGUAGUACCUUCUUCAAAUAUUGCUUCUAAGACAAGCUAACUCUGCCAUGAGCUCUAUCUCUACAUAUUUCCAUGCCAAGAAUCUUCUUAGCUUCACCUAGAUCUUUUAUCUCAAACUCAAGGUUGAGUUGAGUCUUCAAUCUCUCAAUUUCAACUUUACUCUUAGAUGCUAUCAACAUAUCAUCAACAUAUAAGAGCAAGUAUAUGAAAAUUCCUUCUUGUAGCUUCUGAAAAUACAUGCAAUGAUCAAAUUUACUUCUUUUGUACCUUUGCCCUUUCAUGAACUGAUCAAAUCGCUUGUACCACUGCCUCGGAGAUUGUUUCAAUCCAUAAAACGACUUUGUUAGUUUGCAAACUCAAUUUUCUUUAUUAGCAACCUUGAAUCCAUCUGGCUGAGUCAUAUAGAUAUCCUCUUCCAAAUCAGCGUGUAAAAAUGCGGUCUUCACAUCAAGCUGAACUAGUUCAAGAUCAUAUUGUGCAAAUAAGCCUAGCGAAAUCCGAAUAGACGAAUGCUUCACAAUUAAAGAAAACACUUCAUUGUAGUAUAUUCCUUCUUUCUGAGUGUAACCUUUUGCUACCAAUCUAGCCUUGUAUCGAACUUCAUUUUUACCAGGAAAUUCUUCUUUCUUUGCAUUUACCUAUUUGCAUCCAAUUGCCUUCUUUCCUUUGGGUAGUGUCACCAACUCCAAAAUCCUAUUUUUAUGAAGAGACUGCAUUUUUUCAUUCAUAGCUUGCUUCUGUGUAAGUAGAAGGAACAUCGCCAUCUGCAAUUGGAAGUGCAUAGGCCAGCAUACCAUCAAAGCGAGUAGGCAUACGAAUCUCUCUUCUUGGCCUCCUAUAUGCAAUUGAAUCUUGUUGUUGUAGAAGUUCUUGGGUCGAAACUUCUACAUCAUUUGUUCCUUCAAUGUUAGCUGGAUCAUCAUUAACAUUUUCUAGCUCCACCUGCUACAAAUCACUACUAGUUUUGUCAUCCAUUUGUGAAUCAUUAUUCUUCAUCAUGGUUAAUUCAUCAAAAGUCAUAUCUCUACUGAAAAAAACCUUCCUUGUAUCAGGAUACCAGAGACGGUAUCCUUUUACUCCACCAGUUAUACCCACGAAUAAUGCUUUCUUUGCUCUUGGAUCUAACUUAGAUUCUUUUACAUGAUAAUAUGCAGUGGAACCAAAAACAUGAAAAGAAUCAUAAUCAGUAGCAGGUUUACCAGUCCACCUCUCUAUAGGAGUUUUUCUAUUUGUUGCAGCUGAUGGCAACCGAUUAAUUAGAUGGCACCCAUAUAUAACUGCCUCAGCCCAAAAUUCUUUGUCUAAUCCAGCAUUGGACAACAUACAUCGAACUUUCUCCAGUUGAUUCUGAUUCAUACGUUCUGCCACCCCAUUCUGUUGUGGUGUAUCCCGAACAGUGAAGUGUCACACAAUGCCCUCAUCUUGACAUACUUGUAGAAAUGGAUCAUUCUUGUACUCAGUACCAUUGUCUGAUCGAAGUCGUUUGAUCUUUCGACCAGUCUCGGUCUCCACCAACUGCUUCCAUUUCAAAAAUGCAUCCAAAAUUUCAUUUUUUUUCUUUUCAUUAGAUACACCCAUACUUUUCUUGAAUAAUCAUCAACAAAAGUAACAAAAUAGUGCAUACCUCCCAAAGAAGCCACUUUAGUAGGUCCCCACACAUCACUGUGAACGUAGUCCAGAAUUCCUUUUGUAUUGUGAUUACUGAACCAAAUUUUAUCCUCGUCUGCGUGCCCAGAAUACAAUGUUCACAGAAUUCCAAUUUGCAAGAAUUUGCACCUUUCAACAAGCCUUGCUUCGCUAAACUCUGCAAAGCUUUUUCACCAGCAUGUCCCAAUCGUAUAUGCCAUAACCUGGUUGCCUCUGAAUCUGCAUCUUUUGCAGAAGUUGUUGAUAUUGUACUUCCAUUUAAAUAGUACAUGUUAUUCCUUCUUGUGCCUUUCAUCACCGUCAAUACCCCAGUUACUACCUUUAGUAAUCCAUCUCUCAAAGUGAUUGUGAGCCCUUUAGAUUCUAGGACCCCUAAUAAGAUGAGAUUUUUCUUCAAGCUAGGUAUGUAGCGAACAUCUGUCAAGACUUGAAUUGAGCCGUUGUGAUUCUUCAAAUGGAUUGUACCUACUCCCAUUGUCUUAUAAGCGCUGUCAUUGCCCAUAAAAAUAACUCCACCUUCUAGUUCUUUAAGACUAGAAAACCAGUCCUUAUUAUGACACAUAUGAUAAGUACAUCCCGAAUCCAAAAUUCACUCAUCUGUAUAAAAUGCCAUUGCCAUGUCAACCAAGCUAAAGUCUGACUCAUCAUCAUGCUCUGCUACACAUGCAUCAGAAAUAACCUUGCCCUUUUGUAACUUAGGACAAUUUUUUUCCAAUGCCCUUUCUCAUGACAAAAGGCACAUUCAUCUUUGGCAGGUCUCCCUUUGAACUUACUCCUUCUACAAAAUUUGUUGCUGUGCGAACGACCUCUUACUGUUAAGACUUCUACAGUUGUAUCUCUAUGAUAUCUUUUAUCUUUCUUUCAAGUCUCAGAUCUAUACAACGCACUACAGACUGCAUCAAAUGUGAUUGUAUCCUUCCCAUAAAGCAAUGUGGUGGUAAGAUGAUCAUAUUCAUCAGGAAGAGAAUUCGACAACAAUAAUGACUUGUCUUUAUCUUCAAAUUUCUCAUCCAAAUUUAGCAAGUCUGCUAAAAUUUUAUUGAAUAAGUUCACAAGGUUAUUCAUCGACAUACCGGGUGUAUACGUGAAUCAAUAAAGUUUCUUUUUCAUAUAAAGCCUAUUUUCAAGACUUUUUGUUAGAAACUUUUCUUCCAGUGUAUCCCACAACUUUUUCGCUGAUGUCUCCCUCAUGACAGAGUACUUCUGCUUUUUGGCUAAACAUAGGCAGAUUAUUCCACAUGCUUGUCUAUUGAUCUUGCUCCACUCCUUGUCAUCCAUCUUGUCAGGUUUUUCUUUAAGGGCUAUACCCAGCUCUUGUUGACAUAAGACAUCCAGGAUCUCACAUUGCCACAUACCAAAAUUAUUGGUACCAUCAAAUUUCUCUACUUCAAAUUUUGCAUUGGUCAUAGUAGUCUUUGUUGAUGACGAUGUCUUUUCCAUUUUUCUCCUCAAUCCAAACUAUUGUACGUGAACAGUGCCGUGAACGAUCGUAUUCCCCAAGUACAAAUCUAGCUUUGAUACUAAUUUUUGUGCGGAAGCGUGUAAAAGAGUAAAAUUAUUGUACUAAAAAUUCACACUAAGUUUAAUUCCCAGGAAAGAGAGGUGGAUCAUAAGGAUUGCUUAAGUACCAGGCCUUUCCUAGCCAUAAUAUCUCUCAAUCAUAAUUUAAUAGCACAAUAAAUCACUACAAUCACACUCACAAAGUAUGCAGAAUAAUACCAUAAAGAACACAAGAAUUUUAACGAGGUUCAGCAAAUUUUUCCUACGUCCUCAGGCACUAAAAUUUUGUCUACGUCCUCGGGCACUACCAAAUAUAUUUCACUCCAAAAUACAAGUGAAAAUUUAAAAAGAGAGAGAGAGAACAAUGCCUUAAGUAGAGAAUGGAAAAUAUAGGAUACUAUGAAUGAGAGAUGGUUAAGCCUAUUUAUAGUUGAGGUUCAGGGAUCAACUUGCAAAGUCACUAUACAAUUAGGGACCAAUAUUGCAAAUAUCUCAGAUUUCUUAUGCCAAUAUUUCGAUACCCAUUUUUUUGACUUUUCAAUAUUUGAUACCUAUAUCUUUGACUUUCCAUAAUAUGGAUGAUUGCCAAUACUUUUUUUUAUUUUAGUUUUGAAGUUUGUAUGAUUCUAGAUUGAAGUAAGGCUUUAUUAGGGAUAUUAUGUUUCUAGUUUUUAUGGGUAAAUUAUACUUGUGGUCACCUAACUAUUAGUUUGUUUUUUUUUUGUCGGUCAACUAUAAAAAGUUACAAAAUAGUCUUUCAACUAAUACCAAAUUUCGUUUUUGAUCACCCAACUAUGAAAAAUUAUAAGAUGACUACCUAACUAUUUUAUUUUAUUUUUUUCACCAACGGGCUAAAGGUGACAGCUUUUAAAAUUGACAUAAUGGAAAUUUUAACACUCAACAUUUGUACAUUAUCAAUUUAGUCUUGAUUCUAAAAAUUCUAACCUCAACUUUUAACAUUGUGUAAUUUGGUCUUUUUUUCAAUUUUUCUUUUCUUUUUGCCCUUUUCACCUAAAAACAGAGACGGAUUUAGGGGGGUUGGCAGGGGCUCUAAACCCCCAAAAAUAGAAUAUCUGCCAUUUUGGCCCUUUAAAUUUUUUUAAAAUUUUAAAUUGCUAAAGGUAAAAUUACACUUUGGCCCCCUAAAAAUGAUAAAAUUUUUAUUUAAUCCUUUGAAAAAUAUAAAGAUAUAGAAAAUUUAAUUUUGCCCCCUACAAUUUUUUCUUGGCUUUGUCCAUGCCUAAAAAGCUAAAAAACCAAUUUUAUCAACUAAAUUUGAUUAAAAAUAUAUAAUAAAAACAAGAUGAAAACACUCAAAAUUUCAAGAUAAUAAUUGUCAUAUUUUUGUAACACCCCUUAACCCUAAUCCGUCGCCAGAACAGGGUUACGAGACAUUACCGGACAUAUCAGACAAUCUAUAAAUAAUUUCUUAAAUAAAUAACAAACAUAUUAUAAUAUAAUCGUAAAUUUAUAUAAAUAUUUAUUUUACUAAUUGAGUUCAUUUUUUUAUUAUUUUAUUUUAUGUGAUUAAAAAAAACUCAAUAUAACCCCUUUAUAAAUAGUUAACCUUCCCUGCAAUUUCAAACCGCAACCAAUUCACAAUUCAUACAAUUUCAUGUUCAAAUAACGUAAACAUAUCUUAAACAUUAACUUAGUAAUUUACUAAAUAAAUAUUCGCAUAUAUUGUUUAAAUAAAUAAACUUCAUUCAUUCAAUUUCAGUUUUAGCACCAAACAUACCAUUAUAUAACUUAACGUUUCAUUUAUCAUUCAAACAUUAUAGACCAAUUCUUUACAACCAAAACUUACAAGACUCUUUAAUAAGACUGAAGUACAUGCCAUAUUUACCAAAGGAAAAAUACAUCACAAAAGUUAUGUUAAGUCGAGAUUGAUUUGGAUGCUAAACCGGGACCUUUGACUUCUAUCGACAUGCACACAGAAACAACCGUACACUGACUAUUUCAUACUCAGUGGUAUUACAAUAAUUCAAAUUAUAACAAUAAUAAACAUGUAAUGCAUAAAUCAUACAUACAAAUUUAAAUUCAAAUUUCAUAUUUCAACAAUAACAAUUCAUCAAUUAAUAUCAUAUAUCCACAAUUUUAAACUUGGACACAUCAUGAACCUUAGGUUCAUUCCUCAAUUUCAUAUCACAUUUCAAUUCACAAUUUAACUUUUUCAUCUCAUUUCAGUAGCUUGAUUGAUCAACUCAUUCGGUUUAUCAUUUCAUUAUUUACCUUAUUGACAAAAUUCAAACUUUGGAGGAUACACGGAUCCAACCAAACACUCCAGUAUGGCACCCAGUGCCUCAUCAGAUAGUUCGAAGCAAUAGUUGACACCUAGUGUCUCAUCGGCAAAGCUGAAAAAAGUUGGUACCCGGUACCUCUUCGAAUCUAUCCAAAGAAAUAUAAUGACACCCAGUGUCUCAUCGACUCGAGGUCAAAGUAUCCCUGAACUCUUCCAAUCCUAUGGCAUGCCAACUAUAUCCAACUCAGCUUGACUAGUUAAUAGGGUCUCCAAAUUCACAUUUCAAUUCAAUUCCACUUUUUCACUUUCAAUCACAAUUCAAUUCAAAAUUCACUUUUCCAUUUUUUUUCAAAUCAAUAUUCAAUUCAAUUCCACAUAUAUAUUCAUCAUUCAAUUGAAUUUCUUUAACUUAAUAAUAAUACUUACCUUAUAUUUCACUUACCAUAAAUAUAAAUUUAAAUAUAGCAUUUAAUAGUAAGUUAUUUGAAUUAUAUUAAUACAAACCCGAAAUCCGCGAUUACUCCUCGAUGAUUUUCUCUUUUCCUUUCUAUGCCGAUGCCUCGAGUUCUUUAUUAGCUACGAAAAAUUAAGAUAAUUUCACAAUCAACAAUACACUAUUAAUUUAUAUCUAAUUAAUUGAAUUUCUAUUCAAUUUUCUACUUUAAUUUCAUUUUAGUCUUAACUAAAUUCACUUAUUUUUCUAUCUCAAUUCAUACUUUAUUUCAAUUCAAAUUUCAACCAAACUUAGACAUAACUAUCUAAAUUUUUAUCAUAAAACCCUAAUUUUAAAAUUCUUGCAAUUUAGUCUCUACUAUUUAGAACUGUUAGCUUCUUUUACAAUUUAAUCCUUCAAUUAAUUCUAACUAAAAAUUCAUUCAAUUAAACCUCUAAUUCAACAAUUUGUUUAACAUAUAUCAUGUUCAAAAACCCAAAGAAAACUUCCAAAACCUCAACUUGAUUUCAACAAAACUCUAUUCUAAAGCUUCUAAAACAUCACAAUUGAAAGAAAAGGCUUAAUUGACUUACCUAUUACAAAAGGACUUUAGAGGAAAAAGGAUGCCAAAUUGGGAAGGACCUUACGUGGUAAAGAAGGCCUUUUCUAAAGGAGCGUUGAUAUUAACCAAGAUGGAUGGCAAGAACCUGCCUAAUCCUGUGAAUUCGGAUUCAGUCAAGAAGUACUUCACCUAAAAAAAGGGAGAGGCCAAGGCAAAAACCCGCAAAGGGCGCCUUGAGACCAAAGGGGUUUUGAAUUGAAAACCCAAGAAAAGGGCAAUUCAAAUUUUGAUCAAAGGUGGGGCAUACGGUAGUCUUACUAUGCCUGAAUUAGCAGGAAGGAUGGAUGCUACAUCUUGGGGCAUCAACAAAAUACUCUGGAUCUUCUAAACACGUAUCAAGUUUAAAGGGCCCUCGAGAAGUUUCGUGUAGAAAAGCUCAUGCUACGAUAUCUGAGGCACCUAUUUUCAUCUUAUUCAUUUCGUAUCUUAGCAAAAUUUGCUAUCUUGAUUAAUUCAUUCAUUUCAAACUUUGCUCUCAAUAAAAUUUCAUCUUGUCCAUUGUACUAAUCUUGUUCAAGCAUUUUUCAUUGAAAUAACGAUUAAUGGACUAAUAAUAUUCAAGCAGAAGAAGAUCUGCAUAUUACUCUGAAAGCUUCUAAAUAGUACGAGAACCUGAAACAUGACUAUUAUUUAGAACUCACCAAACCUAAGGGUUGGAAAUAUUGAGAAAGAAGAUUCCAAAUUGUGACUAUUUCUUUGGAUUUUCUGUCAAAGAUAUCAGCUGAACAAGAAGACAGGAUAUUGCGUCAAUGAUAGAAUCUUGAUAAACAACGAGCAAUAAUAACCCAUACAUUAAAAAAGGAUCAUUCUCAUGACAUUCUGCAUUCAUGCAAAUAUCAUUCAUAUACAUCCAAUUAGGAGCAUUUGAUUCAUUCUGAUCAUGACAUCCUAAUCAUUUGGCACAAACAUAGGCCCAUGAAAUGAAUUUUACAUGUCAUGUUAUCCAGAGAAUAGUGAAAUAGAUCAAUGGAGUUACAAAUCCCAUACCCCUGAAGUUACAGUGGGAUAGAUUGAAGUCAUUAUGGUGAAUCUUAUCUUCCUGAAAUUGCAGUGGAAUAGAUUGAAGCCACCAGCCUUAUCUCCCUGAAGUUACAGCAGAGCAGACUAAAGAUAGCGAAUCUUAUUUCCCUGAAGUUGCAGUGGAAUAGAUUGAAGCUAAAUUACAGAUCUUAUCUCUCUGAAGUUGCAGUAUAGUAGAUCAUAGCUAACCUUAUCUCCCUGAAAUUGUAGUGGAGCAAGUUGAAGUUACAGGUCUUAUCUCCAUGAAGUUACAGUGGAGCAGACUAAGGGUAGCAAAUCUUAUUUCCCUAAAGUUGCAGUGGAACAUAUUAAAAGCUACAAAUGGCAAGUCUUAUCUCCCUGAAGUUGCAGUGGAGCAAACUAAAGAUAGUGAAUCUUAUCUCCCUGAAGUUGUAGUGGAGCAAGUUGAAGACAACAAAUCUUAUCUCCCUGAAGUUGUAGCGGAGUAGAUUUAGGCUACAAUUCUUAUACACCUGAAGUUGCAGUGGGUUAGAACAAGGCUACUUGAAGAAGAGGAACACCAAAGAAGUCGAGAUUUGGCAAGACCGGGCAAAAUUGGUCACUCUUAAAAGUCUUUACUCCAUUCUCGUUACACAACGACGAGCAAAGAGGGGCAGCUGUAAUGACCCAUUUUUGCCCGGACCCAAAACUAAAUAAAUAAAACCCAAAAUAAAAAAAUAAACAGUCCAUAGUCAAACAAAAUUACAAGCCCAAAUGCCCAAUAAUAAUAAAAAAACCUAGAGGCCUGAUUGGCCCACAACUUAAACAUUUCAGCAAAAACCCUAACUCCCCCAACCCUAGGUGCGCCGCACCUAGGUACACCCCUAGCCGCCGCCGCAUGCACACCAGCCUCCUCACGCGCGCUACCACCGCUGCACGCCAUCACCAUGCUCGUCUAACACUUCCAAAAAAAAUUUGAAUGCAACAACAGAGAAGUAUGCGAGCAACAAUAGCAGUAAAUAGCAAACAAACAAAGAUUAGAAACAAACAGUCUUGAUCCGGCUAUAAAAGACUAAAUUACACAAUGUGUUGUUUAGGUUAAUUUUUUUUAUAAUAAAGACUAAAUGGAUAUAAUUUAUAAAUGUUGAGGGUUAAAGUCGUUAUCAUGUCAAUUUUAAAAGUAUCCACCUUUAGCCAACUGGUGGCCCAAAAAGAUAAAAUUGAAUAGUUAUGAGAUUAUUUUGUAACUUUUCAUAGUUGAAUGACCAAAAAAAAUACUAUUACUUACGUGAUUACUAGUGUAAAUUACCCUUAUUAUUAUUAAAAGAAAUAAAUUCAUUAAUAUUGCUAGUUCAUGAGCUACCCAUUAUCAAACCUCCCUGCGUGGUGAAAUAGACAUAAUUUGUUGAGGGAUAAAAACAAUAUAAAUAAUAUUUUUCAUCUUAUUAUAGAGUAUUUUUAAAUUAAAUAUUGUUGAACAACUUUUAACUUUUGGAGAAAAAUAUUUGAAGUGUCGUUUGUUGGGCAUCUAGUCAAAUUCUCAACAAUGGUUAGUAAUGUUCCCGGUAAGGUUUUGUCUUUUGUAUUUGCCAAAGGUCCUAAAGGGUUCAUGAAAGGGGAACAUCUCAUUUGGUAGAAAUACAACAUGCAUUGCUCAUGUAAGAAUCCAUUUUUAGUGGUACUGGAAACGACGGUUUCAAAAUCUCAUUUUUUGAUGAUUGAGUUUGUGAAUAUUAUUUUUUAAUAUUUACGAGUUUAUCUUAGUGUCAUAUGAUUUUUUGUCCUGAAAUUUUAGUGAAACGAUUAGUAAUUAAAGUAUAAGGACUAAACCAUAAAAACCUUAAAGAGUUAAUUGUUAUUAAUUUUAUUGGUUUAAAGGCUUGAAAAGUAUUAAGCCAAGUGUUGAAAUGGCAAAUUACUCUUUUUAAUAGAUAGUGUAUGGUUUGGUAAGCUUUGUUUACUAAAUCAUGCAAAUUUUAUAAUUAAUAAAUAAAAUGAAAUGAGAUAAUAAUAGAACAUAUUGUGGUGGAACGAAAGAGAGAAGGGCUAUUCCAUUUUUUUUCUUUUUUCAUUCAUCUUCUUCACGAAACAAGAAGAAAGAAUUAGGGCUCUUAAAGUUGAACUUUUGGCCUUGUGCAUGGUACGAAAAUUUAAUUCUUUUCUUGUAAUUUUUAUGUUUUUGAGAUCAUUUUAUUUUGAUUUAGCUAACCUGGGUAUUAAAUCGUAAAACUAUUAAAGUUUUAAAAAGUUACCAUUGUUGUUCUUUGAAGCUUUUGAUGUUCAAUAGAUGAAUGUUAAGCUUGGAAAUAAAAUAGGGACUAGUUUGUAAAGAAAAAUUGGUUAAUUUUGACUCUAGGAACUCAAAUGAAAUUAUUUCAAAACUGUCAUGGAAUUUCUAUACUUAUGGCUUUUAGUGAGUUAUAAAAUGAAGAAAUUAAAAACGGAGUUAAAAACAGAGCUUAAAUGUGAAAGAUAUGAUUGUUUCAGUUUUAAGAACUAAAUUGAAUAAAAUGUGAAACUUUAAAAUUUUUAAAAAAUAAAGAAAAUAGAUCCAUGCAUAUCAUAUUAUGAUAUUAAAUUUUUGGAAUUGAUAAUUUGAAUUAGAAUUAUUAUAUAGAUCAAGAAUUAAAUCAAUCGAAAUAUAAAAGUAGAAAAAAAUUAUAGAUUAAUUUUAGAAUCAUAUUUAAGUAAGUUCAUAUGUAUUAAUUUAUAUUGUAUUUGUUUCCCUCUCUACAUGGGGAACUUUAUGAUGUUUGGUUUCUUCUUUGAACCAAAAGAAAAGCUAAGAAAAAGAUAUUAUAAGGCAAAUAAGGCAAAUCCGAUUAUAUGAUCUACAAUUUACAAAGUAGGGUUAGAGUGAUUAUAAGUGUCCUAUAAAAUAUAAUAAAAUAUUAAAUAUAAAUUUAUAAAUUAAAUUAGAUACAUAACAAAUUUUCAAGUUUACUUGUGGAAUUGAAAAAAGUAUAUUACCAAUUUACACAAUACUCAUAAUUGCUGUUAUAUUAUUAUAAUAUACUUGAAAUUCAGAAAGAUUUUUUUAUUGAAAAAAAAUCAAUACUGAUUAGUUAUGUAUCCAGUUUUAUUUUCUUAUACCAUUAGAAAAAGACAAGUGAAGAAGAAUCGUCCAUAAAUUUGCAGUCAAUAGUUAAUGGUUCCAAUUUAUUUGUCCUGAAUUUUGACUUUUGUAACUGAGAAUCCACAUUUUCUUUUUCAAUAGAAAAGAAAGGGAAAUUUUUUAGAUAUUGUGUGUCUUAAGAUGCUAUAACCAAUUGAAGGUAUGGACAUUAGAAAAGAAAGGGAAAGUUUUUAGAUAUUGUGUGUCUUGAGAUACUAUUGUAAUACCCCGAAAAUUUCUACAGUAAGGAAAGUAAGAUAACAUCUCUGAUAUAGUAAAAUAAGGAAAUAAAGUGCUAAAAAGAGGUAAUUUUGAGUUAUGGCAAUAUUGGGAAGUAAAUUAUAACAUAUUAAUUCAAGAAAGGAUUAAAUCGCAAAACUGAGAAAAGUUUUGUUACCCAAGAGUAAAUACUUAAAAGUUGAGGGGUUAAAGUGUAAAUUUGAAAAAGUUGAAGGACCAAUGGUGUUAAUAUUUUAAGGGUGGAGUAAUCUAGAAACUAAGAAAAAUGGAUGGAUUAGGACCAAAUUGAAAAAGGUGAAGAAGUUUGAGGGACUGAAUCACAAUUUUACCAAAUUAAGUGAUGACUCAAUGAUGGAAUUUUAAAAUAUCAUAAAGGGCAAAAUGGUCAAUUAGAAGAGAGAGAAAUCUAGAAGAUAAUGAUGAUGUUGGAGAUAUUUUAGAUUAAUAAAUAAAUAAAUAUUAGUUUAUUAAUAUUUUAAUUUGAUUUUUUUAAAAUGAUAUUAUUUUAUUAUUAAUUUAUUUAGUAUAUAUAUAUAUGUGGAAAGAAGGAUGAAAAGUAGCCAUCCCCACCAUUUUUUCAUGCAUUAACGUGAGAAGAAGAUGGGAAGAAAGAAAGCUUUGCUUUCUUUACAAUUUGGUCCUUUCACCAAAAAUCCACCAUUUUUACUUAGAAAUCAAAGAAAUUUCCAUUGCCAACAAGAGAGAAAAUUGACAAAGAGACUAUGGGGAGCUAGAAUAUCAAGUUAGAUUCAAGAAAUAGAGGCUGGAGGAGAGAGAAAAUCAAGUUAAAGAUUGAAGUCAAUUGAGCAAGGUAAGAACAUCAUGAUUUCAAUAUAUUUUUGAGUUUGAUAUUAUUGAAAAAGUGUGAGAUUGAUGUUAAUGUAGGGUUUUAUUAUAUAAAUUUAUAUGUUAUUGAUAUGUUAGUGAAGAGAAAAUAAGAGCAAGUGUUGAGAAAUAGUGUAAAAAAAGAAAAUAAGAGUGUUAUAGACUUAGUAAUCAAUAUUCUGCACUAAAGCAGUUUUGGACAACAGCAGUAGGUUAAUUUUGAAAAAUCACCAUAAAUUGUGGAAAUCGAAUUAUAGGAUGAAUAAAAUAUUACAUUAAAUCUUAUUGAGUCUAGUUUCACAUAGAAGAAAUAGUGUAAGCAAUGAAAUUAUAAAUUAUGAGAUAUAAUAGGUUAUGUGAGAUAAGGUCAGAAUGAUUUUGAGUUCCCCUGUUCUGACUUUGGAAAAUCAUUAAAAAUUGUAAAAAAAUAAUUAUGGGAUAAAAUUUAUAUUAUUAGAAUCUUUGAUGAGUCUAUUUUCAAAUAAAACAAACAGAAACAUCAGCCAAAUUCUGUACAAUUAGAUAAUUCAUUUUUAGUAAAGAGUGGUCGGAACUGUCAGAUAGUGAAACAGGGGAAACUUUAAAGAAUAAACUGUACCAUUUGGCUGAACCAAAAAUUCUGAAAAUUUUAUGGCAAGAAGAUGUGUGAGUCUAGUUUCAGGGAAAAUUAACGGAUCUUAAUUUUGAUUUCUUUAGCUCAAUAUACAAAUAAUAUAGUGACUAUGACUCAAAUGGACAGCUUUGAAUAAAUUUACAAGAAAAUAGUGAAAAUUAUAGACAAUAUUACUUAUAAGCAUGUUAUAUAAAUUAAGGAUGUGGAAUGGAGAGGAGGAGGAGGAAAAUAAAUGUAUGAAUAUUAUGCUAUCAUGGAUUUGCAUUACAAAUGGUUAAUUUGCAUGAUUUGAGUUUGAGGACUAAAUUGAAUAAAAGUAAAACUUUAGGGGCAAUUUUGGAAAAAUGUAAAAAAUGACCAAUUUGCAUGAAAUGAGUUGUUUUAUUAAAAUGAAAAAUUAAUUUAGAUCAAGAUCGGGUAGAAAAUCGAGAAAAUGGAAAUUUACCAAAAUGCUCUUGUAUUUUAGUAUUUUUACAAUUUAGCCCGGUAAGUUCGUGUAACUUGAAUUAUAUGCUUAAAUGCUUGAAAUGUAUUUUUAUUGAUGUGAAUAUGAUUUGGAUGUUUAUUUUAUGAUAAUUGAUGAAGUAUUGAUAUUCUUAAUGAAAAGAGAAAAUAAAUCCCGGUUGAAUGAAAGGAAAAUUCGAUGGAUCUCUAAAAAGGAAUUGACGGUAAAAAGGAUCUAGCCCGGACGGGUGAUCCUAUCCUGAUAUAGCCCUCCCGAAGAAUAUGUGUGAAAAAGAUCUAGCCUAGACGGAUGAUCUUGAUAUAGCCCUCCCGAAGAAUAUGUGGAAAAUGGAUUUAGCCCGAACGGGUAAUCUGAAUUAGGGUCUGAAUUUAGCCUGGACUGGUAAGUCAGAUCCAAGCUCAUUAGAGUAAUUGUCGUUGCAGGGGAUUUAGCCUGGACUGGUAAUCCCGACAAUACUCUAUGAGUUUAUAUUACAGGGGAUUUAACCUGGACUGGUAAUCCCGCUGUAAGGAUGAGGUUCGCGGGAGUGUGCUAUCUUGUAGGGGUAUUUAGCCUGGACUGGUAAUCCCGAUAUAGGAUGAGGUUCGCNNNNNNNNNNNNNNNNNNNNNNNNNNNNNNNNNNNNNNNNNNNNNNNNNNNNNNNNNNNNNNNNNNNNNNNNNNNNNNNNNNNNNNNNNNNNNNNNNNNNGAAUUGACGGACCCGGAAUUGUACACUAAAAGUGUACCUCUGAAAAUCCAUCGAAUUUCUGAGAAAUUCAACGGGAUAAAUAUGGAAAAUAAUAAGGGUAUUAGAAAAUAUGGAAUUGAAUUAUUAUUGGUAUUGAUCUGAAAUAAAUGUAACCAUUGAUAUUUAAAUGAUAUAACGGGUAAAUUUUUGAAGUGAGAUAACAUGAAUUUGAAAUGAACUAUUACUGGUAUGUACAAAAUUCAUGAAAAUGAUGGUACCUGAAUUAUCGAAAUAAUGAAAUGGAAAUGAAGCAUUAAAUUGCCUGAGUAUGUAUCGGGUUUCGUAGGCCCUAAUUAUUAUGAUCAUAAUAUUUUGAGGAUAUAUUAUGAAAAAUUAUAAAAACAUGUUAAUAAUUUUAAAAAUUUUAAUUUAGAUGAAAUUUAUAACUCGGUUAAAUACGUUUACAAGCGUAUGGGUUCUGGUAAUGCCUCAUACCCUAUUUCGGUGUUGACUACGGGUAAGGGGUGUUACAACUAUAACCAAUUUAUUUUCUUAUACCAUUAGAAAAAGACAAGUGAAGAAGAAUUGUCCAUAAAUUUGCAGUCAAUAGUUAAUGGUUCCAAUUUAUUUGUCUUAAAUUUUGACUUUUGUAACUGAGAAUCCACAUUUUCAAUAGAAAAGAAAGGGAAAGUUUUUAGAUAUUGUGUGUCUUGAGAUACUAUAACCAAUUGAAGGUAUGGAUCUGAUCUAAAAAUGAAAAAGAAAAGGGAGAUACUCUCCUUUUUUUGUUUGUAGCCUUCUGGCACAUGGCCGAGCGGUAAGGUGGGGGACUACAAAUCCCUUAUUCCCCAGUUCAAAUCCGGGUGUCGCCCGAUCAAAAAAAAACUCGAAAUCCUAACGUCUCCUAACGUCUAGGAUUCAAGGAAAAACUAAAGUAGUGGAAGGGAAUCAGUAAAUCUUGAUAUGGGAGCCCCCCUUACUAAUGGAGUGGCUACUAGAGGAGCCUUGAAUUAGAUUGGAUAACGGGAAUGUCUAAUUAACACAACAUUUAAAAGUUUAUUAUAAAAAAAAGUACACACACAACAUUCAACACAACAAUUUUUCUGAUUUUAAUGUUCAACCUUGACGUAGGGCCUUCUUGAUCAUUCUAUCAAAGUUGGUAAUAGAAGAUCCUCCAACGCUAAUGGCAGAUUUAGCUUUUUUCUUCCAUUCCAAUGCCUUUUGUCUUAUCCUUUUCCCAUUAUCUCCUUCCAUUAUCUCUUUAAUAAGAGCCUCCACAUUCUUACGCUUUACGUCAGGGUUGAUUUCCAUUCCAUUGCCCCAUGUGGUGCACGAAUAUCGACAAUUCGUUGCCCAUUAUCUCCUUCCAUUAUCUCUUUAACAAGAGCCUCUACAUCCUUACGCUUUACGUCAGGGUUGAUUUCCAUUCCAUUGCCCCAUGUGGUGCACGAAUAUCGACAAUUUGUUUGUUGAUCAACAAAGAAAGGCCAACAAAUUAAAGGCACACCUUUGGAUACAGCUUCCAACAGAGAAUUCCAUCCACAGUGUGUCAAGAAAACGCCAACCGCUGGGUGGGACAACACUUGUUGUUGGGGACACCAACUUGUUAUGAAGCCUCUUCCUUUUAUUGCCUCCAUGAAUUCUCUUGUAAAAACAGCCGAUUCUCCCAUCACAACGUCAGGCCUAACUACCCAUAAAAACGGGUAUUUACUAUUUGCAAGUCCCCAAGAAAAUUCUUCCAAAUGAUGGUUCGACAUCACUGUUACACUCCCAUAAUUCACAUACACCACCGACUUGGGUUUCAUUGUGUUAAGCCAUUCGAUGCAACUUGUAAAAUAAAUUAAAUAAAUUAAAUACAUAACAAUUUUUUUAAGUUUACUUGUGGAAUUAAAAAAAGUAGAAUAUUGAUUUAUCAAAUGCUAACCCAUUUAUUUAAUAGUAUAAUAUAAAAUUAAAAAAAACAUACACAAAACAUACAACACAACAGUAUUUUGAUUUUAAUGUUCAACCUUGACGUAGGGCCUCCUUGAUCAUUCUAUCAAAGUUGGUAAUAGAAGAUCCUCCAACGCUAAUGGCAGAUUUAGCUUUUUUCUUCCAUUCCAAUGCCUUUUGUCUUAUCCUUUUCCCAUUAUCUCCUUCCAUUAUCUCUUUAAUAAGAGCCUCCACAUCCUUACGCUUUACGUCAGGGUUGAUUUCCAUUCCAUUGCCCCAUGUGGUGCACGAAUAUCGACAAUUCGUUUGUUGAUCACCAAAGAAAGGCCAGCAUAUUAAAGGCACUCCUUCGGACACAGCUUCCAAGAGAGAAUUCCAUCCACAAUGUGUCAAGAAAACGCCAAUUGCUGGGUGGGACAACACUUGUUGUUGGGGACACCAGCUUGUUAUGAAUCCCCUUCCUUUUAUUGCCUCCAUGAAUUCUCUUGGCAAAAUAGCCGAUUCGCCCAUCACAACACCAGGCCUAAUUACCCAUAAAAACGUGUAUUUACUAUUUGCAAGUCCCCAAGCAAAUUCUUCCAAAUGAUGGUUCGACAUCACUGCUACACUCCCAUAAUUCACAUACACCACCAACUUGGGUUUCAUUGUGUUAAGCCAUUCGAUGCAACUUGUAUCCUCCUUCCAUAGGCUUGAAUUUAGUGAGUUAUGUUGGAUUUCAAGUAGGUUCCUACUUAGGGAGGUGAGUGGACCAAUUGCAUAAAUAUUAGGGGACUUGGAAGCAAUUACUUGUAGCACUUCUUUCUCGAACUCAUCGAAUGUGUUAAAGAUUAUUGAAGAAGAUUCUAAGCAUUCUUGUGAUACUUCCAUGAGGUAAUUAAACAUGGUGUCUUCGGGGUCGGUGGUUCUUAUGAAGCUUGGAAGGUCCUUGAGGCGCAUGUUAGGCAUACCAGGGAUCCAAUCAAUGGCCAUCUCAAGUGUCCCAUCGCUAACAAAGCCUUCAUCUACAAGGAAAAUAAAACGCAUAUUUUUGUUUCAAUAUGCAAAAGAAUAUGCAUGGACGUGCGUGUAACAUAUAGAACCUCAAAGAGAUUAUUAUGAAUGAACAUAAAGCACAAAGAAAACAUAAAAUUUGUAACCUUUGAAUGGAACAAUGGCUCUUUGAGCUAGUUCUUUGUAGUGCAGAAAUCCCAGAAAGCUAACGGUUGAAGAAGUCCAGAGUUGAACAUAAGGCACCCCAAUGAGUUGAGCUGCCUUGGUACCACAGUUCAUGAUUCCAUCACAAACUAUGCAAGUAACAGGGGCCAGUUGGGGUGAGGAAUUAAGCUUAGAUAGUAGCUCCAAGAAUGGAGCCAAACAAUUUUUUCGUGUGGAAUUGCAUAUUGCUGGAGCGCACUGAGUCGCAUCGGAAUCGGAAGGUGGCAGCCCAUCGGGUAUGGCUUCG